rnacentral:lncRNA from 1 species
AUAAUCUUGGCCACCACGUCCUUCGAAUCCCUCAGUUUUUUUAUGCUUCUGUUAAGCUUCUCACGCUUUACUGCUACUGCCGGUGACUCCUCCAACAUCCUCUCAAUUCCCCCACCGUAAGGUCCCAUCAACUCCUUCACAAUCUCAGCUUCCAUCUCUUUGUUCACAAGGUUGAAAACAGACAGCUGCAAGUGCAAUGCCAUGGAGUCCACAAGCCUCCUCAAAACAACCUUCCAAUAGGCAAUCAUUCUCAUUUUAAGGUCAUAAGCUUGAGCUAACACAUGCGGGUACUUCCUCAGAACACCGACUUCCACUUCCCCGAUGCCUACUAUAUCUAUGAUAGAAGGUUUCUUCUCAUCAGUUAAGACUCCAUGAAUGAAUUCGUUUUGACUAGCCAUCAACUUGUUCCAUUCGGAAACAUAAUCACCAUCACAUGUAUAAUCUGUCAGCUUUUCCAUCUCUACAAGCUCCAGCAUCCACUUGAUUGAUCUCUCCUUCAUCUUGGCCAUUAGACUAUGGCCGGCACGCCUUGCUGAUAACUGCAGCUGAUGAUAGUUAUCCGUAUAAUGCAUCAACACAGAAAUAACCACCUCUUCAAUGUAGUUCCACACUUUUUCCUCAAAUGCAAUCGGAAUACUCGAAAUUUCAUUCACUUUUGCCUGCAAGAUAAUGAGGAAAGCAUUGCGUGGAAGGAAGUUCGGAAGUGAAAUACCUUUGGCCUCCUCCAAGAUCUUGAUCUCCUCCAUCAAGAAGUUGCUCUUUGCAUCAGUUUCAGCACAUCUGUGAAGUUCAUCCGAGUACUGGUUGAGCAUCUCAACCAAUCUAGCAGUGCAGUGCAUGCGAUUAUCUUCGGCGUACUCCUCAAAUUCUCCUCUCAAAAGAAUCUUCCUAAGCGAUUCCUUAGCCAAGCCAAUGAUUUGCAUAAAGGCCGUCAUUGCCUCGGCAACAGACGAAAGACUCUUUGGCAUUUUGUUCAGCAUCAUAAUGCAGAAGUUCAGCCUGUCAUUGAUCUUCUUCACUAUCUCAGGUAUAUUUCUUGCUAUGCUGUUUGCUUGAAUUUGGACCAGCUUCUGUGCUAAAACUGGAAUGCCGACAAUGGACUUGUCAAUCUUCGAAAGCAGAGGAUGGGUUUGAAAUAGUUCAUGAGCCAUCACCGCUGCCUCCUCAUAAGUUUCGUCACCAAUCCUGUUCCUUACACAGACAUAACCAAGACCAAUGUUUACAUCAUCUCCAGUGACCUUCUCAAGUAGUCCUUCCGGUGCCUUGUCCACUUUCGUAACCACAGCGAGCGUCCUCUCACCAGUUUUAUCUACACUUUGUGACAUCCGGAUUGACUCACAAGUAGUAAAAUCCACCGUAGCAGACAAUACAUUCAGAAUAAUACUUUCCUCCGGCUUAAUAUACUCCAUGAUCAUAUCUUUGAUCUGAUCAUAGAUAUUUUCAGGUUGGCCAUGGACUGGAACCCUUGUGAUUCCCGGAAGAUCAACCAUAGUCAGAUCCGGAACCCCAUUCUUCUUCACCAACAAAGUAAGUGGCAUGUUUGAAAUUCCCUUACCUCCCCCCGCAAUAGAAUUAGUCGCUUUCACAAUAUCUUUGGCGAUAUUUUCUUCAUCAGUACGAUCAACUCUGCCAUUGUACUCCAAGGAAAGUUCAGGCUGAGGACUCGAGUGGUGUUCCAGCCUCAUAAUAAGAGGCACUCUCGUGCAGAUGCCUUGGCCCCGAGGUAGGCUGAUGCCGGCCAAGGAUUCGAGCACGCUAGACUUCCCGGAUGACUGGUCUCCGACCACCACAAUCGUUGGCAGCUGAAUGCCUUCAUCCAUCACCUUCAAGCUGCGUAACUUGUCUACCGCAUCCAGAAGAGGGCGGAUCUUGUCGUUAUAGGACGACACAAUGGGUGCGCAUUUGAGAGGUACUACGUCUAGUCCUGCCUGAACCAUUGCGAGUGAGCCUUCACCGUUUAAGACUGUGUAACUCGAUUCCAUUUACCUUCGUCCUUCCGUUUCUGAAUUAUAGGAUGUCGAAACAAUGGUGAAAAUCCAGAGGGAAACCGAGAUUACUUGUCAGAGAAGAUAUCAGUCAGGAAGAAGUGAGAAAGCUGGUUUUAGUAAGUGCCUUAAGGUUAAAGGCUCCUAGUUGUAUGUAUAAUUGUUCAGCAAAACCUAUCGAAGUAAAUGACAACCAGCCGUUUCAAAGGCUCCUAGUAGUAUGUAUAAUUGUUUAGCAUUUUGAAGAUGCUACAUGAAAUGUCGUUUUUAGCCCUUUCCUUUAUCUUUUUUAUUUUUUUUCCCGCGUGUUGCUCGGCUUUGCCGUUUUGCCUUUUUUAUUCUAGGUAUUUAUUUCCUUUUUCUCUCUUGACUUCCCCUCGCACACUUCCAUGCAAUCCCUGUCGCCAUUGUGGCACAAAACACAAUAAAAAAUUAUAAAUAAAUUAGAUGCAUUCGCAAAAUAAUUAUUAAAAAUUUUGAGAAGCCCACCUGUCUUCCAUUGCUUUGCCUUUUGGUUAUUUUAUUUUUUGGUUUUGCUGUUUUUUUUGUCUUCCACGCCGAGCCUGCAAUGGUUUGUGGCAAACAACACAUAGGGGGUGGGUUCAAAAAACCGAAAACCGAAAAAAAUCGAAAAUCAAACCGAAUCGAAACCGAACCGAACAAAAAAACCGAACCGAAUUGAAAAAACCGAACCGAACCGAAUUAAUUAAAUUAAUAUUUUUUUAAAUUUUAUUUAUUUAAUUAUUUGUUUUGGGUAUUGUUUUUUAAACCCAAUUUGUAAUAUUUUUAAACCCAAUUUUAUUUGUUUUGGAUAUUAUUUUUUAAACCCAAGUUGUAAGCCCAAUGUGUUACCAAAUACUUACUACCCUUUUCUCAUUUUUCUCACACUCCAAUUUUACUUCUAAUUAUUUAUGGUUUGUUUGUUUCAUCACUAAACCAGUUGCUUUCCAUUUGUCUCUUGAUCAAUCAUGUUCUUCUUUGUUUGUCUUUUUAUUGUUUGAAUUGAAAUUAUGAGUGAUUUGGAGUAAUAAUCAUAGGGUAAUCAAAUUUACUUGUACAACUUCUCUCUCUUUGCACUCCAGUCCAUUUACUUUCAUAUCUCUGCUGAGUAAAAAUUGAGGGGGAGAGAGAGAGUUAAACAUUUUAAAUUUUAUUUUUUGUUGCUUGACUUUGUAAAAGACUGAAACUUUCACUGCAUUCUCUUAGAAAACUAAACAUACUAUUGGAUUUGAUGGUUGUUUGUGAUUUGGGUUUUACUGCUUUGUUUGCCCUUUAUUAAUAAUCAUGUAAUGUUUGAGUGAUCUAUUUUGCUCAAAAGUUUUAGGACUUUCCUUGAUAUUUUUUAAGAAACCAAACAAGGAUUAACCCUAUGUAUACUUUGUUUGUUUGCUUGAUGUGAAAAAAAAAUAUCCAAAACAAAUAAUUAAAUAAAUAAUACUGAGAAAAAGAGAAUUUAAAAUAUCAUUACUUUUUAAACCCAAUUUCUCAAGAACCAAACAAAGAUUAACCCUGUGUAUACUUUGUUUUUUUUUAAAAACCCAACCAUGAUGUAAAAAAAACCGAAACCGAACCGGAAAAAACCAAACCGAAAAAAAAAUAAACCGAACCGAAAUUUCGGUUCGGUUUCGGUUUUGGCAAAAAACUGAACCCACCCCUAACAACACGUAUAAAAAAAAUUAUUUGCCCAAAAAAAAAGAUUACAUGGACAAAACAAUUAUUAAAAAUUGAGAUAUUUGUCCCCUUUUUCUCUCCUGACUUCCCCUGCUUCCCUGCAUUCUUGCCAUGUCGCCUGUUGCAGGGAGAAGGUGAGAAUUGGUUGUGCCACGUGUUGGUGAUCAUGUUGUUUACUUUUUGGGGUUUAUAUUGGUGGAGGCACAUUCUCUGCCUUCUUAAUUUCGGUGUCCUCCUGUUUUGUGUGGUCACGGUUAAAUCAUUUCAACAUUUUAUAUUAUUUUUUAAUAGAGAUAAUAAGACAAAAAAGAAUAGUAAUAUAUAAUGUUGAUCUGACUUAACCUUGACCACACAAACAGGAGGGCACGGGAGAGCACUGAAAUUGGGAGGGCAGAAAAUCUGCCUCCUAUAUUGGUUCAUUUUAGUACCGUUUGGUACGCAGACGGGACGAAAGGGAACAAGACGGGAUGAGACGGGACGAAACAGUGGUUCCAUGUUAUAUUUGGUAUGUACAGGACAGAACGGGAAAGUUGUUCCGUUGUGGGUUUGGUAAGCGCAAGACGGAACGGAACCAAAAGAAUAAAAUGAUUAACUUACCCCUGUUUCGUCUGUUGUUUGGUACAAUAUUUAGGCUUGGUAUGGGACGGAACAAUUUCAUUAUUUUUUCACCUUCUUGCUGCUGCUUAUCUAUGAUAUAUUUUGUACACUAUACUUGGAUGUGUUCAUAUUUCAUACCGUGUAUAACAGAAAACAAGAGACAUGUAUUUGUACUUUAUGUUGCUCAUAUAAUUAAUUUAGUGGGAUAAUACGUCAAUUAAUUUUAUGUGAUUUAAAAAAAUAAUAUGGUGAGAGCAUGCCAUUGGCUUGGCACUUUGGAACAUGGCAGUGUAGCCACAAUAUGUAUAUGUGAUGAAUUACAUAUGAAAAGGUUGGUGUGGUAGAACAACCGUUGAUGCAAUGGCUAUGUUGGAAUCUUUGACACAAUCUGCUUUCAUCUCUUCAUCAUCACAUUGAAAUGCAAAUUGUGUCAAACAAUAUGUAUAUUAUAAGUUGAGAUGUGAGUCAAUUGGAUGUCUAUGGCAAUGGUUGUCAUGCAAGGAUGAAAAAUAUAGAAGUUUAAUGAUAUUAUCUUGCUAAAGCAAUAAACAUGAAAUAUCCAGAGCUUAAACAUGAAAUCCCAAAUUAAACAUUCAUCUUGACUUAAAGAAAAAAGAAAAGAAAGAUAAUGUCUUACUAAACCCCAGAAGUUGAUAUAGUUCAUUCAUAUCAUACUAAACCCCCUAAUGCUCAGAUGUCAUCCAUAAAUAUUUUAAUGAAAUCUGCCUUGUGAGAGUCAUCCAGGGUACACCAAAUACUCAACAUAUCAGUAUUUUUCACUAAUUUUUAUUGAAAUUUUCAGCACUUGAUCAUAUGGGAGACCCAUGGCCUGAACUCGAUACAAAAAAUUUAGUCUCAUAUUCAUCUAUACCUUCACAUGAAAAAAAAACACAUGAAUGAAUGGAGCAUCAACAUACGUGGGAUUCAAUUACAAGCAUAUGAUUAAAUGGUAAAACAAAGUGGAGCUUCAUAUCCUAAUUGCAAUUCUUAAAGUGGAGCAUCAACUUUGUCAUGCACUGAAAAUCUGAGUGAUACCAUAUGAGGAUUCGAGUAAUGCUAUAUGACCCAAAUGCAGUUCAGUCUACAUUAUUAAAAGAUGGCAGUCCGAACAACAAGAAUGUACCAGCUUUAACAAUGACUUCUAAGUUUUGCAUAUGCUGAAGUUAAGAAUAUUCAAGCAUCAAAUAUGGCAGUCUGAACUCAAUACACUAUAAGACCUUACAUAAAUAGGUGACUACAUUAUUAAAACAUACCAGCAGUACUGCAAUAAAUAGUGAGCCAUACUAUUAACGAUCAUUUAUGACACGCCCCGAUCCCGAUGUCCUGUAGACAUCGAGAUGGUCACGUGUUGGCCGACACCCGAGGGGUGACGUAAGCCAUUCGAUUAAAGUAAAAACCCAUAAAAUGCUCACAAGCAUGAAUAAUAUAGCUCAAACCAUAGCAAUUAAACGUAAAGCAGCAGAAACAUAAUUACAUUAAAAUAAUAUUCAACUGCCAACACAAAACAAAACAAGAUACAACAAACCCUGUCCAGAGCAUACGUCUAAUAUAGAUUACAAAAGAAAGAAUAUAAAUUGAAUAACAAAAGGAGUGGAUCCUACAAUGAGAGGACUCAAAGAUGCCAAUGCAGAAGUGUCUUAACGCCGGGAUUGUAUGCCUCGAAUCUAAGCCCUAAAGGGGGCGCAAAACAAAGGUGAGUGGACCAAUUUGAUAUACAUAUAAGAAACAAUUAUCAACAUACUAUCCCGCAGGUUUUAUGAAAACUCAUAUAUAUCAUGAUAAACAUAGGUUUAUCGAAACCUAGAAUGUCGUGCAAUAUUUCAAUUCAUAACUCGCCAUGCAAUGUCUCAAUUCAUAACUCGUCGUACAAUAUCUCAAUUCAUGAUUUGCAUAUAAUAAUCACUAGUGUCAAAUGUUCACAUAUAUCCCUCCUGGCCCUAUGCCAUCUCCCCGUCCCUGAGCAUACAGUUAGAGGAAAAUAUCGCUUCAGGCCCUAUGCCAGCUCCCCGUCCAUGUGCUAAAUAGCCAGAGGAAACACACUCCAGGCCCUAUACCAACUCCUCCGUCGCUUGGGAUGGACCGGAAUCUAUCUCUCAUCCCGUAGCGGAAAUUGGGACCACUAGGUAAUAUAGAACCAUUGCACAUACAUCUCAUAAACAUUCUCAUAAACUCAUGCUUCUCAUGUAUGCAUUUCUACUAAUAAAACAUGCAUUUUUAGAAAGGGGUCACUCACAGUACUUCGCCGUCGAAAGCCGCGCUGCUAGCGAAGAAACAGUGCCACAAUAUAUGCACUUAAGCACAUAAAGGGUUCAACACAGUCAAACUCUAUUCAGAUGAUUUAAUUUAGGAAAACAGACUUAAAAAACGGAUCUAAGACGUCGAAAUUAACCUACGAGGGAAAUUAACCUACGAGGGGUCCUGAACGAAAUCCAAAAAGUCAACUCAGAACAGUCAACGAUCAACGGGUCAAAGUCAACGGGUCGGGUCAACCGAGUUUUGGAUUGGAUUUGGAUCUGGGUAUAGGGUUUGGGUUUUUGGGUCACGGGCCAGAGGCCCUAAUUGAAGGAACCCAAAAGGGUUCCCUGGGUUUGGGUUACACGGGCCAAAGGCCCUGGUCUUCUCGGCCCAAGGCUUUAAGCCUAGGGUUUGGGUUUUAGCUGCCAAGGCCCUAAGGGCUUUUGGGUUUCGAAUUGAACGGGCCGAAGGCCCCAACUAAAAUAAAAAAAUGUAACGAGCUAGGGAACUGGGUCUGCUAGCAAUGGGCCUAAUGCCCAAAAUAAAAUGGCCCAAAGGCCUUGUGAAUUAACAAGCAAAAUAAUUAAAAUAUAAAUAAAAGAAAAUGGGCUGGGUUUGCAACGGGCCUAAGGCCUGAGGGGGUUUGGGUCGGUCCGAAGGCCUGGGUGCGCCGGGGGAAAAACCAGAGGACACCGAAGCUGCUACAGCUCUGGCUGACUACAAACGGAGGUCUAGUGCUCCAAUCUAGCUACCAAAAUGGAGUACAAGAAGAGGGGAGUACUUUGGUACCUUCAAAUCGAAUUGAAUUGACCGGAUUUGCUCAGAAAAGUCCACGGCGCUCACAGGUUCGUCGGAGAAAUGGGUGUGCUCACCCCGUGUGUCGAUCUCGACCUAAACCUCAGAAAAAUCAUGAAAGUCACUUCCAAUUUCUCAAUCAAACACAAUUUAACCCUGAGUGAGAACGAUCGGAGGCUUACCUAGCCGGAAAAAAAGAAGAUUCGCCGGAGGUUUCCUGUGUUGUUUUUCCUUCGUGCGUGCGUGCGUGUUCACGGGAGGGAUGCGAGGGAUACGGGAGAGAGAUGAGAGAUUUAGUUUCGAGAAAGACUGAGGGAAUACAGAGAGAAAGAGAGAUGAUAGGGAUAGGUGAUGUGGGAAAUGGAGGACAUAAUCAGGGUGGGCCCCUUGGGCUUACCAUUUAAGGCCCAAAACAAUAUUUUAUAAAAAGAAGGAGGGUGGGGUGUAACAAUUUAGCUUAUUAUCCCCCACUCAAGACAGGGCCAGGCCAUUAUUAUUAACAGUUUGAGGUUAAAUACAAAAAUCCUACGUAUUCGUCCGAUCAAUCUGUGGGAGAAGAAAUUUCAAGAUAGGAAGAUAAUAUCUUUCCUUGCUAUAAAAAAACUUCAUUUAUUUCUAAAAGCCAGUGGUAGAAUAACUAUCAACUUGGGGCCACAUCACACAUACACGGUACAACAUUGGUCUCUCUUUAACCUUUGUUAUAAAAACGCAUCUAAGGUCAUUAAAACAAUUCAAACAUGCUCCUUCCACUAACUGAACAACCAAAGAAUGCUGUUCUUCACUAGACAUACUGAUCAACUAUAACAAAACUCACGAUGAUAAGUAAUAGGUACGGUGAAUACAAUCAAAUAAAAUAUGUUGCAAGAUGUAGAACUUUGCAGAAAUAUUAAUGUAAAGAAAGAACAAAAAAUAUUCGAGGCAAACAAGUUACUCGUCCCUAAGAAAAACCCUCAAAUUACUUGAUUCUUCCAACAUAGAAUCCAAUCCAACAUAGGAAAAUCCUAAACAUGUAACCCAAUCCAAUCCAACAGAACCCAAAGACAUCAGAUUUAUAGAUUUUAGCACAUAAAAAAUGAAACUUGAACACUAGAAAACCAGAUAGAGAGAUACCUCUGAAUGUAGUACUGCUCAAUAGGGGGAGUGGAAUGAGAUAAACAGAGGCGGAUCUUUGGUUUCAGAUGCAGUAUUGGGUAGAUCGAAGCACUACAAAAUACAAAGAAAAAAAAAAAAAAAGCAAAUCAGAAAAGAAUACAAAGAAAUCGAAGCACUAAAAAAUACAAAGAAUUUCAGCAGAAUUAGGAACUGGGUGUUAAUGAAAUCGAAGCAAGCAAAUCAGAAAAGAAUAAUAAUGCCACUUCAAGCAACAGCAAACACCAAACCAAGAGAGAAAGUACUACAAAAUACAAAGAAAGAGAGAUCGAGAGACUACACAAUCACUAUCAGAUUGAACCUGGAACGGAGAUGCAGAGCUGAAAGUUCACAGAGAAGCUACAUGGAAAAGGAUGAGGAGGAAGGUUGCGAAGGGGAGAUGCAGGAGGAUGAAUAAGUUCACAGCGACAGAGAGAAGAGAAAUGAUAGUUAGGGUUUGUCGUAUGAUAUAGAUGGUGUAAAUAUUGAAAAAGCUAAGGGGUAUUUUUGCCUUAAAAUUUUAUGAUUUUUGUGUUCCACGUGAUGGAACAACCCGUUCCCGGGGGAGAGGGGAGGUGGCACCAAAAUUUAACCCAUUUUCUUUCCGUGGGACAGCGCGUUCCACAUAAUUUAGGGCACCAAACAUGGGACGGAACACGUCCAUCCCACUCCGUUCUGUCCCAUCCAACGUACCAAACGCACCAUUUCCGUUUCAGCUUAGUUCCCUUUUUGUUUGCACAUUUGUGCAUUGAAAAGUCGAUUAUGCCCUUUGCUGGGUGCUAUCUUCCUUAUUUCAGUUCCUCAUAGUUUAAGCGGCUGUUUCUCAGCCCACGUGUCGGUUAUCGUGAGGUUUGGUCUUCCAUCUAUAUCCACCCUGCUUUGUGAAGCUGCUGGAAAUGUCUUCCAUUUUGAGCGUUUUCUUAAUUUUUUUCGUACUUUGUGUGUGGAUGUUUGAUCUAAUUUCAUUUUUUUGUUUCAAGAAACGUUGGCCUUCGAAUUUUAAGGGUUUAUUGUACAAGCUUGCAAGCCCUUUCUGGGUGAGGUAUAUAAUUUUUGUUUUUGUUCUUAAAUCUUUUUCCAAUAGAAUUUUAAUUGUUUUUUUGGUCCUGUUUUGUUUUUGGUGUGAUGAUUAAUUAUUGGGCGGUGAAGCAUCAACACGUACACAAAAUGGGUGUAGCGGAGAUGAGGAUGCUUCGUUGGAUGUGUGGGCACACGAGAAAGGAUAAGAUUAGGAAUGAGGAUAUCCGGGGUAAAGUAGGAGUAGCCGAAAUUGAAGGAAAGAUGAGAGAAAAUCGGUUACGAUGGUUUGGACAUGUGCAAAGAAGGCCUACUGACGCUCCGAUUAGAAGAUGCGACUAUGGGACAGAGGUUCAGGGCCGAAGGGGUAGAGGAAGACCUAGGAAAACUUUGGAAGAGACCCUAAGAAAAGACUUAGAGUACUUGGAUCUAACGGAGGACAUGACACAGGACAGAACACAAUGGCGUUCUAAGAUUCAUAUAGUCGAUCCCACUCAGUGACUUGGAUUUUCCAAGUCUCCAACCGAGAAGUUUUCCUCACUCGGGAAAUUAAGGGAACACUACCUCAACCUACAUGCUCCACUCAUAAAGCUUCAACAUACAAACUUCAACAAAAGAAAAUUCAAAGAACUUAGCGAAGAAGGCUUUGGUGUAUUUAACACAAUACGUUGAAAUGAAGGAAAACUUAUUUAUUGAUAUCCCUGAUAAGUUACAAAUAUGUACAUAUACAUGAGUCAAAAUAAACAAACAAGAGGGAGCCUUCACAAAUGUUGUUUAGGAGAAGUCUUAGCAGUCGGUAGAGCCCCAGAAAGAGAAGGCACCGGACGGGGAUCAUUCGGAGCCUCAGUACUGGACAGAACCCUAGAAGGAGGAGGCAUCAGAGGUUGAUCAUUUGGAGCUUCAUUACGCGGUACAACCCCAGAAGACGAAGGCAAUAAAUGCCUUUGGAACAAACCCACAAAUCUCUGAUGAUCAAGUAAAACCUGACCAUCAGAUUCCUUCAUCUGGUCAAGCUUCCUCUUCAUGUUUGUAGCAUAGUCAUGUGCGAGCCGGUGCAACUGUUUAUUCUCAUGCUUGAGCCCUCUAAUCUCCUGUUUGAGACUCAUCACUUCAGCCGCCAAUGAUUCAACUUGGCGGGUUCGAGCAAAUAGGCGUUGGACCAUAUUAGACACAGAACCUGCACACUGAACACUGAGAGCCAGAGAAUCCUUAACAGCCAACUCAUCAGACCGUUUGGAAAGUAGUCUGUUAUCUUUGGGAGUGAGAAGGUUCCUGGCCACUACCGCAGCGGUCAUAUCAUUCUUCAUCACGGAAUCCCCAACGGUAAGAGAACCAGUAGGGGAGACGAAUGAUGGGCGUCAUAUGUUGUCUGGAGAAGGCGGGGCUGUCUCUUCAACAAGGUUCAAGUCAAAACGACGGUCGGAGGGGCCAGACAUUUUCAAAGGUGUUGAAGAGAGAAGAGGUCGGACAAAUCAAGAUCUUAGAAGUGCAAGAAUGAAGCUUCUACUGGUGGAGAUUCAAGUGUGCUUUGGAACUUAAUGCCAGCCCCUAUAAAAAUCUGCACUCGACGAAGCUUCAGAAAUCGAAGAGGCGCCUGCUCAGAAAUCGAAGAGGCGUUUGCUUUCUCAAAAGCUGGGCUGCUCAGAGACCACGAGGGUCGAUCUCAGAAAUCGAAGAGGCGUUUGCUUUCUCAAAAGCUGGGCUGCUCAAAGACCACGAAGGCCGAUCUCAGAAAUCGAAGAGGCUUGCUUUCUCAAAAGCUGGGCUGCUCAGAGACCACGAGGGCCGAUUUCAGAAAUCGAAGAGGCACAUACUUUUCCAGCCUUGUCAGCACCUGCCACACGCACACUCAGCUUUGCGGAAAUUAUGGGCAUUCUGUCGAAGAUUUCUGGUGAAGUAGAAAACACAUGAAUCGUACUGUUCAAUCACCCACUUCCCACACGCAACAGUAGCUCAUGGGUACCACAUAUAACUUUGCCAAAGUUAUCUGACAAAGUUGAGACACGUGAAGCUUGCAGCUCUCACUACAUCGCUCUGACCAAGAAGGGUAAAAGAAUAGCAAAGAAACAACACUAACAAAGUUUAGACACAUAAAUUUUGAAGGUCUAGCUACCAUAUUAUUACCCAUAAGGGUAAAGGAACAGUACCACUGCUGGAUAAUUGGAAGGUCCCGGUGUGUCAACCUCUGUACUUCGUGGCAAGGUAGACUAGCAAACAUGCCCAACCUUUACUCACAUUCAAGAAAACACUCCCAACAAGAUUGCUUGCUCCAAAAUCGAAGAGGCACCGCUUUCCGAAUCUUGAGAGCCAGACUCCCAACAUGAUUACUUUCUAAAAAAUCGAAGAGAGGGUAAAGGAACAGUAACACUGCUGGAUAAUUGGAAAGUCCCUGUGUGUCAACCUAUGUGCUUCGUGGCAAGGUAGACUAGCAAACAUGCCCAACCUUUACUCACAUUCGAGAAAACACUCACAACAAGAUUGCUUGCUCCAAAAUCGAAGAGGCAUCGCCCUCCGAAUCUCGAGAGCCAGACUCCCAACAUGAUUACUUUCUCAAAAAUUGAAGAGAGGGUAAAGGAACAGUACCACUGCUGGAUAAUUGGAAAGUCCCUGUGUGUCAACCUCUGUGCUUCGUGGCAAUGUAGACUAGCAAACAUGCCAAACCUUUACUCACAUUCGAGAAAACACUCCCAACAAGAUUGCUUGCUCCAAAAUCGAAGAGGCACCGCCCUCCGAAUCUCGAGAGCCAGACUCCCAACAUGAUUACUUUCUCAAAAAUCGAAGAGACACCGCUCUCCGAAUCUCGAGAGCCAGACCCCCAACAGGAUUGCUUUCUCAAAAAUCGAAGAGGCAUCGUUCCCCGAAUCUCGAGAGCCAGAUCCCUGACAGGAUUGCUUGUUCGAAAACCGAAGAGGCACCACUUUCCCAACUUCAAGAGCUGGAUCUCCUUGGAUAAAGCUUGUCUGUAAUCUUCACACGCAACAUCAGCUUUCCAGAGACCACAGACCACUUUUUCAAAGUGCUCCGACAGAGUUAAAACAUGUGAAGCUGGCAGCUCCCACUACCGUGCUAUGACCAAGCAGGGUAAAGGAAUAGCAUUAUUACUUGAUGUUAGUGAGACUCCUAUAUAUGUCGACCUCCAUCCCCAACGGACAGGCAGACCUGCAAAAAUGCUCAACCAUUCCUCUUAUAUGAGAGGGCACUCCCAACGAAGCCUUUCGAAAUAUUCAACUUUCUUUCCCCUCGAUAAUACCUCUGCAAACAAGCUAUACUAGAGCAAGAAUAUCUCAUAUCAUCAGGGUUAAAAGCAAGAGUAUCCCAUAUCAUGCUUUUUCCCUGUCUUUUCCUUUGGCCUUGUUCUUACCUGCAAGACAAGGAGAAAGAGAGCAAUCAGUCAGCACUUGGAAUCAAGCUUCCAACCAGGAAUUGAUUGCCUAGAACCCCUUACCUGAGUACUUACCUGGCAUUGCUCUCGAGUACUCAUCUUCAACAUCUUAUGCUUCCAGGGAAGAUACCGCAUCUGCCUAAGGAACAGAUAGGUCAAGUGAGAAGGAUACAAAGAAGCAUGUGGAGACAAGCGUAACAGCACACGUGCCGAUACAUCCACUACUCUGUCAAAAGCAAAAGUAUCCCAUAUCAGCAGGGUCGAACGUACUCUAGAUUUGAUGGACUUGUUUUGACCCUCAAAUUCUUCAGUCGGCCUUAUACUCUGGAGGAAACCAGAAAACCCUCAAGCCCAGUUCAAGAAUAAGCCUGUGGAAAGUUACUUCUUCAAAAGCAAAAGUAUCCCAUAUCAUCUCUUCUCAUUUUUCUUCUCUUUAUCCUUCCUGCUGCCUGCAAGAUAGGGAGAAUGUGAACAAUCAGCCGGAGCUCUGAUUUCUUACCUUGUCUGUCACAUCUUUUAGCAGAUCCCCUAGCCCGGCGACUUGGGGGACUCCUACUACAUGGUUUGUAUCGUGCUUGACCAAGCCUGAAACUACAAGUAAGCUUCAAGUGAAAUUGAUACAUUACCUUGUGCAUCUCCACCAGUUAAAGAUACCACCCCUGGAUGGAGGAAGAGUACUUCCAGAGAAGAUGUCACAUCUACCUAUGAGACAGAUAAGGCAAGUCAAGACGAUACCACACUCCGGUACUUAGAAGUUUUGUGAUUACGAGAUCAUUUUCCCACAAUAUUUCCUAAUGUCAUUUGUACUAAAUCAUUCACUUGUACUCACUAAAGGAGAGCUUGAACCUAUGUACUUGUGUAAACCCUUCACAAUUAAUGAGAACUCCUCUAUUCCGUGGACGUAGCCAAUCUGGGUGAACCACGUACAUCUUGUGUUUGCUUUCCUAUCUCUAUCCAUUUAUAUACUUAUCCACACUAAUGACCGGAGCAAUCUAGCGAAGAUCACAAAAAGCGACCGUUUUCGCUACCUAGGAUCUAUCUUGCAAGAGAAUGGAGAAUUAGAUGGAGAUCUCAACCAUAGAUUACAAGCUGGAUGGAUGAAGUGUAAGAGUGCAUCCGGCAUGUUGUGUGACCGUCGUAGGCCACUGAAGCUCAAGGGAAAAUUUUAUAGGACGACAAUAAGGGCAGCGAUGUUGUAUGGCACCGAAUGUUGGGCGGUGAAGCAUCAACACAUACACAAAAUGGGUGUAGCGGAGAUGAGGAUGCUUCGUGGGAUGUGUGGGCACACGAGAAAGGAUAAGAUUGGGAAUGAGGAUAUCCGAGGUAAAGUAGGAGUAGUCGAAAUUGAAGGAAAUAUGAGAGAAAAUCGGUUCCGGUGGUUUGGACAUGUGCAAAGAAGGCCUACUGACGCUCCGGUUCGAAAAUGUGACUACGGGACAGAGGUUCAGGGCCGAAGGGGUAGAGGAAGACCUAGGAAAACUUUGGAAGAGACCCUAAGAAAAGACUUGAGUACUUGGAUCUAACGGAGGACAUGACACAAAACCGAGCGCAAUGACGUUCUAGGAUUCAUAUAGCCGACCCCACUUAGUGGGAAAAGGCUUUGUUGUUGUUGUUGUUGUUGUUGUUGUGUUUAGUUUGCGGAUCUAUUUUCUAUAAAAAAAAUUGGUGAUAAUUGAUUUUGAGGUUGUGUUGUAUAUGGAUUUUUAGUGUGGGUAUAUGAUUUGGUUUUUUUAUUUUGAGGAAGCAGUGGCCAUCGUUUUUUACCGCUUAUAUAUAUAUUAUUCCAGAAGCUUGAGGUAUAAAAUCUUGAAAUUGCUCACCUUAAAUAGACAGCGGCGUGCAUAUGUAGUUUAUCAUCGAAUAAUCAACCUCUCAUCACUAAAUUAACGUUUAAGUUUGUUUUUAAUUUAGUUCACAAAUGAAUCAACCAAGUUUUCAUGCCAUAUUGAUACGAAAUUAUAAAGAAAUGUCGAUCAUAUUUUGUUUGUUUGUUUUCCUUCUUUUGAGAUCUAUUAUUCAUAUAUAUCAUAGAUGAUGAAGAAUAAAAGAAAUUAAAUGCCGCUUUGGAUGAUAAGUUGAUGUUGAUGACAAGUACUAUUGAUGAUACCCACUAUUUCUCAUCUGUUCUAAUGCUGCAGGUAUGUAUAUUAUGUAACAAGUUCUCUAUCAGUUUGUUAAUAUCCAUAACCAAUACAGGUUUUCAAACACUUACACAGGUUUGUAUUUCAGUGAAAAAAUUGUAGGAAAAACAAAAGGAGGUUGAGCCUAUCUACAUAGUGAGUCGAAAGAAAAAUUAAACUCAACAACUAGAGAAUGAGAAUGGUUUGAUGAAAAAUAGGAAAUGAACACAUAUAAGGUAAUGUCACAAGGUGAGAUUUCAGUAUGAAUUUUUCAUUGUCAUACUAAUUAAUGCUUUUAAACCAAUCGGUAUAGAUUCUAUUUUUAGUUUCUUUUGCUUGAUCAAUUUACAUUCCUUUUUUAACCAAAUGCAAGUUCCAAUAUUGCAUUGAUGACAAAUAAAUUAAUUGAGAUUGAAGCUUUCUCUGAUUGAGAAAUCUCUUUUUGUUUAAAUAGUGUUACAAUUUUGUCUUUAUUUUUUUUCCCAAGAGGUGGACUUAAAAAGGAUAAAGUAUGCAAGGGAAUGGUAGGAUCAACAUAUCAAAGGUAGACAUCGAUUUUUUCUCUCAUGUUAAACUUAUAUUGUGAUGUUUAUUAUUAUUAAAUUUUGAAAAAAAAAAAUUGCUUAUCAUAACCUUAUCACAAUACUAAAUAACAGGGAGAGAGAUGAAAAAUAGAGGUAACUAUUUGAUUGUAUGCUUACUUUGGAGAUUUUGUGUAAGAUCCCACAUACUUAUAUGUAUAUUCCCAUCUCUACCUAGCACGAGGCUUUUUGGGAGCUCACUGGCUUCGGGUUCCAUCGGAACUCCGAAGUUAAGCGAGAAGGGGGCUAGAGCACUCCCAUGAUGGGUGACCCACUGGGAAGUUGUUCGUGAGUUCCCAGAAACAAAACCGUGAGGGCCUGGUUCCCGGCCAGGGCCCCACCACAACCUGGGCCCGCUCUACCACCGUAGCACGAUAUUGUCCGUUUUGGGCCCCAACCAUGCCUUCACGGUUUUGUUUCUGGAAACUCACGAUCAACUUCCCAAUGGAUCACCCAUCAUGGGAGUGCUCUAGCCCCUUUCUCGCUUAACUUCAGAGUUCCUAUGGAAUCUGAAGCCAGUGAGCUCCUAAAAGGCCUUAUGCUAGAUAGGAAUGAGAAUAUACAUUUAAGGAUCACUCACCUGGGCGAUGUGGGAUGUCACAAUCCACCCCCUUUAGGGACCCGAUGUCCUCGUCGGCACACUUCCGGCCAGGGAUAGGCUCUGCUACCAAUUGUCACAUCCCGGCUCGGGCCCCCACCACAACCUGGGCCCGCUCCACCAUCGUAGCACGAUAUUGUCCGCUUUGGGCCCCAACCACACCUUCACGGUUUUGUUUCUGGGAACUCACGAGCAACUUCCCAGUGGGUCACCCAUCAUGUGAGUGCUCUAGCCCCCUUCUCGCUUAACUUCGAAGUUUCUACAGAACCCGAAGCCAGUGAGCUCCCAAAAGGCCUCGUGCUAGGUAGGGAUGAGAAUAUACAUUUAAGGAUCACUCAUCUGGACGAUGUGGGAUGUCACACAAUUGACUAAGAAUUUGUUAAAUCAUUUUAACAUGUAUUAUAAUAAGAUAUUUACUUUUUAUGAUACAUUUCUAAUUUUUGCAAAUUACUUGAUUUACUAUUGUUAUAUGGUUUACAGAUUUUUAUGUUAAGUGUGUCACUAUAUUGUUGUAAUAGUUAAAUUGGAUGUAAUAUGAAGUGUUGAGAUAAAACUAGGCACAACUAAUUAUCUUUCACUUCUUGAGAUACAGUCAUUGUUUGAUUUAGCCUAUAACUGAUAAAUCUUUAAUUAUAAUUGGUUUUUUUAGUUUACCUGGAUCAGAACUGAUAACCGUAUAAAAGGGCAGUAAAAAUUAAAGUCUGCCUGUUCUGAUGACAACUGAUAAAUAUACAGUUCUGCACUGUAUACUGGUUGAUGAAAAGGUGAGCAAUCAUUACUUAAUGAUCUUAAGUAAUAACUACUUAGUAUUGCUCAUUGAAAAUUUAUUAAUUGUUUCAAUGCAUAUGAUCUAACAUUUCUGCUUUCUGUAAUAAACACUAUUUAUGAUCUUUAUUUUUUUGGUCAAAAACACUAUUUGGGAUCUGUUUGUCAUCUUUAGACAUUGCUUGAUUUUGUAUUGUCAAAUGAUAUAUAUUUUCAUAAUCACUGUGUCUGUAUAGUAUAUGGAUUAUAUAUAUAUAUAUAUAUAUAUAUAUAUAUAUAUAUAUAUAAUAUUAAGUGUUCUAUUCUUUGUAUUAGAUCUUUUUAUACUUAAACAACUUUUUUUAAGUGUUAAUUAAAAUGAUUAAUUGAUAGUUACUGUUUGCCUAUGCAUAUUCUUGCGUAGUAUUUACUAUGCACAUGCAUAUUCAUGUUAUACUAUAUGUAAUGGUCACUGUUAUUCACUUAUUCACUUGAUAUUUAACAAUAUUUUUUUCUUGCAUUUUUUCCCAUGCUGAAUUGUCAAGCGACAAUCAAUAUAAACUUAUAUGAAUUUUGUUUCUUCAUUGUUAAUUUACUGAUGCUAGGGAUAAUUUAAGCUUCUACAUUCUUAACAUUUUUCAUAUUUGACUUGCAGGAUUAGUGUCAAUGUACACAUUUUUGCAACUAUUUGUUCUGUCUUUCUCCCUCACUCUGUAUAAUUUUAGUCAAAUUGAACUACUCUUUAAAACUUGAGAUUUAACUAAAGUACUUAGAACUUAGUUAAAUGAAAGUUUACUUCGGUUUGAUGACAUUUACAUGAUUAUUAGGUUCACAAUCAUUGGAUGCAUUAUCUUUUAUAUGUUUUAAUCAUAAUGUCAUAAAAUUUUCGAUCCCGCAACAACGCGCAGGUCACACUUCCCGCAGCAACGCACGGGUUAUGCUUUCCAGUAGUAACUAAAGUCUGCUUAGUAGGCCUCCAAGAAAUUGUGGUUUCACCAACAAUACCCGUUUAGGAUAUUGCCAUGCGGGGAUCAAAUAAGUACCCAGCAUCAACAUAACCAACAAAGGAAACUCGAGAACUGGGUGGAGGGGGUGAGGAAGGGACGGUUGCACUCGAAUUUGAGUAGGGAUAUGACAAGUCCAAGUCUCACAGUACCAUUAAGAUAACAUAGAAUUUAUGUAACACCUUUCAAUGUCUGCGUGUUGGCACAUGAUUGAGAUUUAUAAUGCAGGAGAUGUUAGGUCUUCUACACUGAGAUAAGUACAGCAAAGUACCAAUUGCAAUUAAGUAUGGAACCUCGGGUUCUUAAACCUCUUCAUCAUCUAUCUUUGGAUGGUAUAGGUCUCGUUGUGCAUCAAGCGUACGGAUGACCAUGAGUGUACUCAAAGGUAAUGCUUUAUCAUUAAAGCAAUGUAACACCAUCUUGGUGUAGUUUGACUAAUGGACAAGAAUGUUGGAUUGUGAACUAUCUUAGUACAUAUUUGUAGAAGUGUGGCGGGUGGCGUAAGCAUACAUAAUCAUUUAACAUGCAUGUUAGCGGAAUGUUGGAUUCCGUUUAAUUUAUGUAUUGGUUAUGUUCAGGUAUAAUAAAAUUAAGAACACAUGUAUAAACUUCUGAGUUUUAGAAUUCUAACCUUUAGAUUUCAUAGGCGGAUGCAUUCAAUAUUGUUAAGGCUCCAAAGUGUUACCCCUCUACCAGUAUCUACACGAAUAUAUCUCCAACUAGUGAAGCAAGAAGACGACAAUCUGCUAGAACUUUAUCCAUUAGGUAGGUGUUGCAACAAGGGGAUUUGGUAUGGUGUUUUGUUUUUCAAUUCUUUAAAUUGGAAAACCUAAUUCUUUUCUCUCUAAUUUCUAUUUCCGCUUUGUGAAUUCUCACACUAUGUUACAUAGAGCCCUUAGGCUUAAAAAGAGAACAAUUUCUAAUUAAGCCAAUAGGAUUACAGAUUAAUUCUCUACCACAAAUGUGUGUCGCACGCCUUGGGAAAAAUUUUGAGAAACUUUGGGGUUCACUAGUCUGUAUCACGUCACUCGCUCGUCUCAAGAAGAGAUUCUUUCACGUCACCAAUUUACCACACUACAAUUUUGAAUUUAUUAGAUGAAUAAUACAAUUUGUUUAAUAAAUGACCAACUUUACAAAUAUUUUUGUGAAGUGAUUUCACACAUUUUUUUAGCUUUUUUACAGACCCAUGUUUAAUUUUGGAUGUUGAUUCCGUUUGAUUUAUUCAUUCUGGUGGCCAUAAAUAAAGAGAGGUAUGUGAGAAACUAAAAAUGGUGCGUGAAAAUCCAUGACACUACUGAGCAUGAAUUUUAGUUAGAUGAAAAAAGACCUUACGCCUGACACAAGUGGGAGGACGUGACAUGAGUGCCUUUAUUCAAGGAUGAGGAAUGCUAAGGUGACUCUCAAAAGUAGGAAUCUCUGUCACCUCAUAGCUAGUUUAACGUCAAUUCAUUCAUGUGCCAGCAUUAUAAGACUAAUGUUAGGAAGACUACAUUUGUAGACAAAAUUUAUAAACUAAAUGACAUGGAAGCAGAUGAGUAGAUUAUUACUUAAGCGUUGAUAAAUGUGCUCAUUUCAUAUUGGUGACACGCCAUUUAGUUUGAAUUUUUUUUUCCACAAAUUUAGUCUAUCUAGCAUUACCCGCAUUAUAAGGUAUUGUGGUAAACAUAUGAGGUGACGGAGAGUUCAUAGAGAGUCUCAUUAGUAUUUCUCUUCAAGAAUUUAACCUCAUUCUCCCCACUUAAUAAUUUCACCAAAAAUGUUUUCUAAAUGCUCGCUUAUCAGGAUUAAGCCUCUGUUUGGUAUUGUUUUUUUUUCAUCAAAAGUUGCUUCACUUUAAAGUUAAGCAAUAAAAAUGUGUUUGGUAAAAAUAAAUUAUUUUGCUUAUAUUAAAAGUAAUGCAUGGCCUCCAGACAACAGCUUUUAAAAGCAGCAUGCAGGUAAAACUGCUUUAAUAAAAAGCUGAGUUGAGCCUUUAAUGAAUAUUUUUACUUCUUGUAAUACGCUCAAUAAUUUUUUCUUUUAAAAAAUAACAUUAUUUAUUCUUGUAGGCACAUUUUAUCAUUGGAGAACAAAGUGACCACCACUAUAAACCCUAACCUCUUACAUUACCAUUGCCAUGAUCACCACCAUUGUUGCCAUGACCACCACACUACAAUUGCACCACGACCACCACUAUAAACCCUAACCUCUUACACUACCAUUGCCAUGAUCACCACCACUGUUACCACCACCACACUUCAAUUGCGCCACGACCACCACAACCAUACGCACCACCACUACCAUUGCUAUUGUUACCACCAUGCCACUACCGCCACCACCACCACCAUAAAUACAACAACCGCUACCACUACUACCACAACCACCACCAUCGUUGUUAUCACCACCCCUACCACCAAUGUUGCCUCUGUAGCCCAACCACCACACCUCUUUAUUGGCACCAUGACCACGACCACGACCAUCACCACAACCCUACCAUCACAACCCCUUGCCCUUAUCAUUAUUGUCAUCGUCACCACCAACAUUGUUACGUUUAUUUUUGUCAUUAUAUACAAUUAUAAAAUAUCAAACGCUUUUACACUAUUUUUCAUAUUCACAACACUUUUAAAAAUACAGUUCAUCAAGCACUCAACUGCUUUAUUUUGUAGCAAAUUAUUCUUAAAGCACAUCAGAAGCAGUUUUUUAAAAAGCACAUCAAUCUCAAAAUGGCCGUAAUAUUAUGAGUUUUUUUAAUUGAGGUAAAUAUAUUAUGUAUUUGACCAAAACGAUUUUAAAUAAUUUGUAAUAAGAUGACGCGAAAAAAGAGCAGAAAUGCAACACAUGAAAUAAAACCAAAGCAAAGAGAUUUGAGGUUGAUUUUCAUUCCUUACAACAUUUUUAAAACAUUUCAAUUUCAUACCUUUACUUAUCAUUUUAUUUCAAUUUCAUACAUCCGUUAGAAAAUAUGUUAAGUAAACCGUUAAGUGAUGACGUGGCAAAUAUAAGGUCCCCAUUUGUGUUGAUGUGGCUGCCACAUUUGUGCCAUGUAGCUAAAAACUGAAUAAUUUUUUUUUAAAAAUAAUUAUUUAAAAAAAGUUAUAAAAAAAAAACACAGAUCCCCCUUCUUCCCCCGAAUCCCCACCCAUGCCCACCCUCCCAACCCCCAGCACCCACCCGGGCCACCCCUUCCUCCAUCCCACAUCACCAACAACCACUUACCUCCCCACUGCGCCUCCAUCUCCGACGAGAGCCUUCCUGCCGAGCUCUUCCCCCAGUACACCGGUAAAACUCGUCGGCAAAGUAGCUCCGUGUCGGAGCUUGUCGAAUCGACGUUUGUGGUUCAUUUUUCUCCAAACUGACGUCAUAGAUGAGUUCAAAGGGAAAGAGACUUUAAUGGCAAAGGGAAAGAAACUUUAAUGGCGGUGUUGGUGGUCUGAAAUUCGUCAGAGAUGGUGGUGGUCUUUAUCGACCCGAUCGAUCGAGGUUUUCUUCGAGUGAGGGAGAAUGUCGAGAGAGAAUGAGAUAGUUGGGGAAGAUAGUGGUGCGAGAGAAAUAGUGUUCGGGGUGAGAGAAAGGGUGGGGGAUGGGGAAAAGGGUGGGGGAUGGGGAAAGGGGUGGGUGAUGAAGGGUGGGGAUUCCGGGGAAGAAGGGGAUAUGUUUUUUUUCUUUUCGUUUUUUGUUUUUAACCUUUCUUUAUAUAACUAUUUUAAUAUUUUAAAUAUUUUAUUAAGUUUUUUUUACAUGUGGUACAAAUGUGGCAGCCAUGUCAGCACAAAUGGGGACACCAUAUUUGCCACGUCAUCACUUAAUGGUUUACUUAACAGAUUUUCUAACGGAGGUAUGAAAUUAAAAUAAAAUGAUAAAUAAAUGUAUGAAAUUGAAAUGUUUUAAAGAUUUUGUAAAGAAUUGAAAUCGACCUUAAACUUGAAAAGGUAAAAUGUAAUUUACCCUAUAUUUUUUGUUGGUUUAUCAUUUUCACCAAGCUUCACCUCAUCAAUACUUAAAGAAAUGUAUUAUGUUCUGAUCUAGAAACCAAGCUCCGCCUCAUCAAUACUUGAAUAAUUUGAUGCAUCAUGCAUUACUUUUGUUUCCUUUUGAAGGCCCAAACAAGAAACAAAGCAACACAAGACAAAGACAAUUACCGUUUAAUGGGUGUUUUAGAAACUCAAAAGCUUCAAUUUGUUUUGAGAAUCCAUUUGUUUGGAAUAAUGCUUGGGAGACUAAAAUUUUUAAAUUAAAUGAUGUGUCACCAAUUUUAACUUCCUCUUUUACUGUUAUACAAGCGAAAACGAGAGAGAUUUAAUAUGAGUAAAGGGAUACUUUACUUCUUGAGAUACAAGUUUAUUGUUAUAAUUUAGCAAGGUUUCUUCUAAGGAUCUUGGCUUUCUUUAUCUGUAAAAAAGUUGGGGUUUUGGUUGUUUAAUUAUUUUCUACCAGAAUUGCAAGAUAAAAAGGGAUACAAAGGAGAAGUGACAUAUGUAUAUGUAUAUAUAUAUAUAUAUAUAUAUAUAUGUUUUUUUGUCUCUUAUCAAUUAGGGUUUCUACAAUUCUUGUCGGAUUCUUUACCUAAGUUUUUAUUUGUCAGAUUAGUCACGAAAGUUCACUGUCAAAUUAAAUGAAAGGUAAUGAAAGUAGAAAACAGAAAACAAAUUAUCGGAGUUGACUGCUGGUAUGAUGAAUUAGUUGAAUAUCAUAGUGCACAAUGAACAAGACUACACAAUAAUAAAAAUAUUAUUAAAUAAACAAGAACACUGAAACGACUACAUAACACUAAGAAGCUACAUUGUGACUAACUUAUUCACGAUUGAAUAAAAAACAUGCUAUUUAUAAUAAACUAGUCCUAACUCUAAAAGGUAAUAAACCAAAACCUUAAUGCUAAUGGGCUAAACCCAGAAAACCAAAUAUUAAAGUAAACUUAAAUAUUAAUGUUUUCCAACACCUUCCGUCAAACUAAUGGCGGUAUACGACAUGAGUUUGCAAACAAGCAGUUGCGGACUGGCUCUGUUAGGCGGGCAUACAGGCAGGCUCCUCAACACGAACAGACAGGCAAGCUCUGCAACGCGGACAAACAAGCUCCGCAACCCCGCGGACAGAAAAAAGCAACAAUCCCAAAAGUGAUUCCAAAAAUCAAACCGAUAAUAUAGAUUGCAAGCUUUGUCUUGAAGCCAACAUUUCCAAAUUGAUGGUUCCAAAGUGUUGACAAAAGCACUGGUGCUAGUGUCACUGAAGCAACUGCAUAUGGCUUACACCAUCUUUCUUCACAAACAACAGGAAUAGUCAAUCUCCUAGGCAGAUAAAGCGGAGCUCAAGUAUGAAAAUCAGCGUGCGAAAAAAAGCCGAUGAUCUAAGAUUGGAGCAGCAUUUCUUGACUUCUACUACUUCAGAACUGCCUUGUGCAGCUCCUUCCUCUGCAGCACUGAGAUCUUCCUCUUCAAUGCUGAUAAGAAUUGGCACAGUCAAGUCACUCUCAUUGCUCGAAUUACGGCUCAAUUCAACGCUUUUCUUCCAAUGUGUGUGUGAGACGUAAACCACAAUCACAUAAGCAAUAUAGAGUGAAGAGAGAGCCAUUGCAGCCCACACAUCUAUUUCCUUGUGAAUCAAGAUAACACCCAAACAUACAAUGACCAAAAGGUAGAAGCAAAUAUCUCUCACAAAGUCCGCUUUGUGAACUCGAAUGCGCCUUUUGCUCAUUGAAAUGCUUAAGAUUCCAACCACAGCACAAGACACAAAGGAAGCACCCCCCAGAACUGUAUUAAGACCAAUUUCGCCAGUCCCGCCACCCAUAAACGAAACAAGACUGGAAAACACAUCAGGGGCUCCAUUGCCAAGAGAAAGCAGAGUUACCCCAGCAAUUGUGGGGGACAAUUUUAACAACCUAGAUAAACUAUCAAGUGAAGAACAUAAGUACUCAGAAGCUGUGUUCCCCAACACAUAGAACAAAACCAGAAGCCAAAGAAACAUACAGCAAUAACCCAAUUGAGGAAAAGUUCCAAAAUUGCAGUAGAAAAUGUUUAGAUAGUUUAUAUAGCCUUGGGAGACACAUGGGUUGUUGGAUUUAAGGUAAAAGCACUUUGCUUUGUAGUCAUCUAAACUAAGAAAACCCUUGCAAUCUAGUGAACCAGAAAUUCUGGAAACCCCAGAAGUGCUUAGAACCAGAAAAUCUGGAGCAUAGGAAUGUACAACCAAGAAAGCGCAUCCCACUAUCAGAAACGAGAUGUUCAGGAAAAUUAUGUAGUUUUUGUACUUUGGUAAGAAAACUAAGGUACCCAUUAGAGAAAUUCAAUCUAAUCUAAUUUUUUUUAAAGUAGAGAAAUUGAUUGAAAUUGAAUUUACCUUUAUGAUUGUGCUCCAGAGCAAUUGGAGAAGAUAAUGAAAAUCCAAAAAUGUAGGGUAGAAAUUGAGGAAAAUUACAAAAAUAUAAAGGGGUAGAAAUUGAAAUGGAUGGAGGGUUUUUUUAAUUUGGUAAAGCUGGAUGAUUAAGAGCACCUCCAGCGGGGGAGGUUGCUCGGGGGCUGUGGAUCAAACAGUAGCAAAUUGAUGGGGGGAUGAGCUCCAGCGUAUGGAAGCCCGAGCAACAGGCGAGGCCCGAGGAGCAGGCCCGUCGAGGAUUGCCAGCCCGAGAGCCCGAGGGCUGCGUCAGGCGCGUGCGUUUCACGCGCGCGUGGGCGCGAGUCGUCGGACAAAAAAACAGGGCUGGGGCCCGCGAUUUCAGUUUUGAAAAGUAACCGUUGGGGAAGCCACGUGGCUUCCCCAUGUCUGUUCGAUUGAAACGGUCAUAUUUUAUGGACCGUUGGAUUUCCAACGGUAAAAAACAUUUAAAAAUCUCAUUUAAUUUCAUCCGUUUGAUCUAAGAUCAACGGUUCACGUUAUUAGGCUUUGUAAAUUAUAUAAAAAAAAAGAAAAACUGUUUAAAAAUCUAAAAUGUUACCGUUGUGACACGUGGCACAAUCUGGAGUGUUGGAAUUUAAAUUUUUUUAAAUCCAACGGCAAAGAUUAAUUAGGUGAAUAAAAAUUAAAAAAAAAUGUAAAAAAAUUCUUAAAAAUCCGAAAAAAAUUAUGAAAAAUUAUAAAAAAUUUUGAUUUCACUUCACCUAUAAAUACCUUCUCAUUAUCUUCUACCCUACACCACAAUUUCAUAUUUUCUCAACUACUUUCAACCACAUUCCUAUCUUUCUUUCAAAGUUUCAAUCCAAUUUUUUUCCAACAAAAUGACUACUCAACCAGGUACGAAUUGGACGCUUCUUGAAGAUGUUGCGUUGUGUACUAGUUGGGUUCAAGUUACUCAUGAUUCGAUUACGGGUAAUGAGAUGCAGUUGCGAGAAAUGUGGAGUCUUAUUCAUACCAAUUAUCUUGAGAAAAUGGGUGGGCAAAGAACUAAAGAAUCGAUGUCCAGUCGUUGGAAAUUACUUAGUCAAUCGUUUAGUACGUUGAGAGACGCCUUGGCACAAGCUAGUGGUAAUCUUCGAAGUGGGGAAAAUUUAACGGAUCAGGUAACAAUAUAUUAUUUAUUUGUUAGCUACUUUCAUUAUAUUUAUUUGUUUGUAUUAUUUAUUUGUUAUCUUCUUUCAUUAUAAUUAUUUGUUAGCUACUUUCAUUAUAUUUAUUUGUUUGUAUUAUUUGUUACCUACUUUCAUUAUAAUUAUUUGUUAGCUACUUUCAUUAUAAUUAUUUUGUAUUAUUUAUUGUUACCUACUUUCAUUAUAAUUAUUUGUUAGCUACUUUCAUUAUAUUUAUUUUUGUAUUUUUUACCUACUUUCAUUAUAAUUAUUUGUUAGCUACUUUCAUUAUAAUUAUUUGUUAGCUACUUUCAUUAUAAUUAUUUUUGUAUAUUAUUUGUUACCUACUUUCAUUAUAAUUAUUUGUUAGCUACUUUCAUUUAUAAUUAUUUGUUUGUAUUAUUAUUAUUUGUUACAUACUUUCAUUAUAAUUAUUUAUUUGUUACCUAUUCUCAUUAUAAUUAUUUGUUUGUGUAGGAACUUCAAGCACAAGCUUGGUAUGGUGCCAAAACCAAAAGCAAAAAACAAAACAUUCACCCGGUUUGAAUGUUGGAAUAUUGUCAAAGAUUGUCCUAAAUUUAGAGUUGUGCAUGUCGGUCCAGAAGUUUUCAUGAAACAGCACCCCUCUACACUCUACACCUGAGCAUGCCUCGCAUGAUCAUGAUAAAGAUGAUGAAGAAGUGCCUGAAACGCCCCCCGUUGAACAAGCGUCGGGGUCGACCCGUUAUCCAAUUAGGCCUCAAGGUAAGAAGGCUUCAAAGAGAAAAGGUAAUGCUUCCAAGAAUGAUUAUGCAAAGUAUAUGGAAGAUCUUGCCCGCCAAGGUGAAUUGAAUUUGGCCCGGGAAAUGGCUAAAUUUGAGGCUGAUAAGGCUAGAGAGGAUGCAAAAGCUGCAGCUUUUGAGAGAGAAAAUUUGAAGCUGAUGAGAGAGAAAGAGAACUACUUCGGCAAGAAAGGGAACAUAGAAGAGAAGAAAGAAUGGCUGAACGAGAUCGUGACAUUAUGAAGGAGCCUUUAGAAGGGAAGUCUCCAGACUCUAAAAUAUUUUUGGAAGUCAGAGAAAGCGGAUGUGGUGCGAAGGAUGCGUGCAAGAGAAGCGAGAGCAAGAGGAGAUGGUCCUAGCACCACAAGAGAAGAUUAUCCUAGCAUGACAAGAGAAGAUCAUCCUAGCACCACAAAUUGGUUAGGUGAUGGUUAUCAUCCAUUCACAAACCCAUAAUUUUCCAAUCAAUUCGGGUUGUAAUUUCUUAUUCGGGUUGUAAUUUCUUAUUCAUUGAAUAGAGUACUUUAUGUUGUUUCCAAUUUAUUGAACUUAGUACUUUAUUCAAAACACAUUUAAACACACCAAAUAAAAUAACAUCAACACACCAAAAAAACACACCAAAUAAAAACAAACACCAAAUAAAAUAAAAUUACAUUUCAACUCACUAAAUGAACUAAAAAACACACCACAUAAAAUAAAAAUAAAUACACCAAAUAAAAACAAACACCAAAUAAAAUAAAAUUACAUUUCAACUCACUAAAUGAACUAAAAAAACACACCACAUAAAAUAAAAUAAACACACCAAAAUAAAAACAAACACUAAUGAACUUAAGUAUCGUCAGCACCCCUCAAUUCCCACUGGUGCUCUAUCAAGUCAAGUUGGCGGGCAUUGUGCAUAUUUGACCUUUGAAGUGCAGUAUAUCGUUGGAUGAUCCUUUCAUUGUAACGUCCAUCCCUUUCUAAUGGCUCAUGUUGCACGGGCUCAUCGGUGGCGUCAUGAGCACAAUAUAUACGUGUUCUUGAAUUGUUCAUCGUGUCUGGCUCAUAUUCAUCAACGGCUUCAUAAUCGUACUCAUCUUCCACAAUCAUGUUGUGAAGAAUGAUGCACGUCAUCAUGAUGGAUCGAAGCGACUCUACAUCAAACAAUCUGGCAGCACCUCUGAUGAUCGCCCAGCGAGCUUGGAGGAUACCGAAACAACGCUCCACAUCCUUCCUGCACCCUUCUUGACAUCUUGCAAAGUGUUUUUCCUUUGCACUGCGCGGACGUGGCACUGUUUUGACAAAUGUUGACCACCUUGGGUAAAUGCCAUCAGCUAGGUAGUAUGGCCCGUCGUACAUACGUCCAUUGACCUCAUACGUGACUUUUGGUGCGUUUCCUUGCAGGACAUCGUUGAACACUGGGGAUUGGGCAAGGACGUUGAGGUCAUUUUGAGCUCCCGGAACCCCGAAAAAGGCGUGCCAAAUCCAUGUAUCAAAAGAUGCCACCGCCUCCAAAAUGAUACUUUUUGAUCCUUUUCUGUCCCCAUAAGCGCCUUGCCAUGCACUUGGACAGUUUUUCCAAGUCCAAUGCAUACAAUCAAUGCUUCCAAUCAUCCCUGGAAAACCUCGCAUCUCGCCUUUCUUCAGAAGCCUUUGCAAGUCCAUAUGAGUAGGUAUCCGGAGGUACUCUGCGGUGUAGAUAGAUUCGAUUGCCGAACAAAACCUCAUGAGGGACUCAAGAAUGGUUGAUUGUCCCAUCCUCGUUAUCUCGUCCACUUGGUCUGCAGCUGCUCCAUAUGCAAGCAUCCGCAAGGCAGCAGUAAUUUUUUGCUGAGGCAGGAGACCCAUAGCACCAAAAGCAUCCGGCUUUUGCACAAAGUAAGAAUCAUGGUUGCAAACAGCGCCCAUGAUUUUGUUGAACAAAUGUCGUUCCAUUCUAAAACGACGUCGGAAGUAUGUAUCAGGGAAUGCACUGUUACGGACAAAAAUAAUCGUCCAAGAGCUCCUGACCUCGUCGUUGCCUGUUUCUAUCAAUGUUUACAGCACGGUUGGGCCUGCAGAGAUAUGAGCCACAGCUUGGACGACUCGACGGGAUUGUGAGGCUCCUGCCAUUCUUGAUUCGUCAUCUCGCCGUCUACGCUCGUCAUCCUCUUCCAUCUCAUUUUGGCCCCAAUCCCCAACAUUGAACAUUCCUUGUGAUUGGUUAAACAAUUCUUCCUCUUCUUGCUCGAUUUCCCACAUCAUCUUUGAAGAAGAAGAAGAAGACAUUGUAAGAAGGAAGCAGAAACUAUGAAUAAUGAUAGGGAUUUUGGUGAAGAAGGAAGCAAAAACUAUGAAAUAAUGAUAGGGAUUUUGGCGAAGAAGGAAGCAGAAACUAUGAAUAAUGAUAGAGAUCUUGAGAAAAUUGGUGUGAGAUUUAUGAGGAUGGAUGGGGGAUUAUAUGGAGGAUUCAGAAGGGAUUAGGUUGUAGAUAAUGCCACGUGGCAUGCCGUCAUUCGUUAAAAAUCUGGUGGAAAUCUAUCCUCAAAGAUUGUAAUCGGAUUGUGACACGUGGCACGACGUGAUUGGUUAAAAAUCUUAUCAGAAAUCCAUCACCAAUAAUUGUCUUUUCAGAUAAUGACACGUGCCUUGACACAACGAUUAAAAAUCUUAUCGGAAAUCCAUCACCAAUAAUUUUCUUUGCGGAUAAUGACACGUGGCGCAACGAGAACGAUUAAAAAUCUUAUCCGAAAUAACAAAUAUAAUUAUUUUGAAUUAUUUUAUAAAUACAAAAAUUUUAUUGCUAUUGGCUUUUCGGAUAAUGACACGUGGCGCAACGAGAACGAUUAAAAAUCUUAUCCGAAAUUACAAAUAAAAUUAUUAUGUAUUAUUUUAUAAAUAAAAAAAUACUAAUAUUUUAUUGCCAAUUGCCAGGGCUAUUCAGUGCAGGGGUGGAGAUGCAAAAGGCAAUUGCCAGGGGAAUGCACUAUUUAUUAAGAGCAGUUACUGUUCACUAGGUGGAUUAAAUAGUGAAUUGCCUGGGGGGAGGACUCCUACACUGGAGUUGCUCUAAGGUUGCUGCUUUUCUUGGGGAGAGAAGUGGAAGAGACAGAGCAUUUAAAGCUUUCCUUCUGAGUUUCCACAUUGUAGGAAUACUGUCACUUCAUGCAAUGUAAGGCCAUAGAUCAUGAUGCUGACAAGUUGAGGACACGUGUCGAAAGAUGGUGCCGUUGGGGCCCACAACCGUCCAAGGGAAAAUUUCUCGAGUAAUAUCAGUUACCACGGUAUUCAAGCGGAAACAACUACACGUGUGGGAAUUUGGUGGACGUCGGCUAUCAGGGUGAGUUUAGCAUCUGAGCUGUGAAAGCAAAGAAAAAGACUUGCGUCACAAUCAAAGCUUCAAAAUCGGUCUGUCCCUCCUUGGGCAAUGCGCUUUACAUUUUUCUUACUUUCUUCAUUAUUUGUUUGUAGAUCACAUUCUUUGAGAAAUUUUUGGGUUCAUUAGUCUUUGUCAAGUCACUCGUUUAUCUUAAAAAGAAAUUUUCUUGCAUCACUAGUUUAUCAUGCUACAAUCAUAAAUUUAUUGAAUAGAUAACAACAAUAAAGUCUCAUUUCAAUAAGUGGAGUUAGCUAAAUUUAAAAUGUCACUGGACUCAGUUUUACGCCAAAUUUAUUAGACGGAUAAUACAAUUUUUCAAUCCACAUUCUCCCCCACUUGACCAUUUCAUCAACAAUGUUGUCUAAAUGCUUUUGUUUCAUUUUUCAAUUUGAUGCUAGGCCCAUGUUAGACUAAAAACAACUGCCGUACAAAAGUAAGAUAAAAGGGAUACAAAGGAGAACAUAUAUACAUACAUAUAUAUAUAUAUAUAUACACAACUGCCGUACAAAAGUAAGAUAAAAGGGAUACAAAGGAGAACAUAUAUACAUACAUAUAUAUAUAUAUAUAGAGGCCCCUUCUCAAGAGGGAUUCUAAUUUUUCAAAAAAAAUGGGAAUACCUUCUUCACCGUUAGAUUUGACUUGAAUGAAAUUCUGUGGUUGAGAUGAAAUCACAGGCCACAAAAUCUUAAUCACAAAAUUUUAUUAAAGCCAACUCUAACGGUUAAGAGGGGAUCCUCUUUUUUUUUUGAAAAAUGGGGAUCCCUCUUGGGAAGAGAUUCCUAUAUAUAUAUAUAUAUAUAUAUAUAUAUAUAUGCUAGCUUUCAUGCACGCGCUCUUUGAAUCACAACGUGCUACGCAUGACUUACACAUUUUAAAUGAAUAAUAUUAGACCAUGCUAAAAGAAAUUCUUCGUAAAUCAAUCAAAACAGCCGAAUCUACAUUAGGGGCUCCAUUGCCAAGAGAAAGCAGAGUUACCCCAGCAAAUGUGGUGGACAAUUUUAACAACCUAGAUAAACUAUCAAGUGAAGAACAUAAGUACUCAGAAGCUGUGUUCCCCAACACAUAGAACAAAACCAGAAGCCAAAGAAACAUACAGCAAUAACCCAAUUGAGAAAAAGUUCCAAAAUUGCAGUAGAAAAUGUUAAGGUGGUUUAUAUAGCCUUGGGAGACACAUGAGUUGUUGGAUUUAAGGUAAAAGCACUUUGCUUUGUAGUCAUCUAAACUAAGAAAACCCUUGCAAUCUAGUGAAUCAGAAAAUCUGGAAACCCCAGAAGUGCUUAGAAACAAAAAGUCUGAAGCAUGGGAAUGUACAACCAAGAAAGCGCAUCCCACUAACAGAAACGAGAUGUUCAAGAAAAUGACCUAAUUUUUGUACUUCGGUAAGAAAACUAAGGUACCCAUUAGAGAAAUUCAAUCCAAUUUAAAAUAUAAAAAAAGUACAGAAAUUGAUUUGAAAUUGAAUCUACCUUUAUGAUCGUGCUCCAGAGCAAUUGGAGAAGAUCAUGAAAAUCCAAAAAUUAGGGUAGAAAUUGAAAUGGAUGGAGGGUUUUGGAGUUCGGUAAAGCUUAAGGAUUAAGGUUGCUUGCCGCUUUUCUUAUUGAGAGAAGUGGAAGACACAGAGCUUCCCUUCUGUGUUUCCACAUUGUACGAAUAUUGUCACUUUAGCCAAUGUAAGGCCAUAGAUCAUGGAUGCUAACAAGAUUGAGGACACGUGUCAAAUGAUGGUGCAGUUGGGGGUCAUUACUGUCCAUGAAAAAAAAGUUCACACGGCAUUCAAGUGGAAAAAACUACACGUGGGAAUUGGAUGCAUUUUUGCUCAUCAUUAUGAACUAUGGUGUAUGCUCACCAUAUAUCUUAUCAUUUGACAUGUGUCCUUUCACUUAAUCAUAGUUAAUUUUUUUUCAAAAUUAGAAAAGGAACAUUUAAUAUUAAAGUUAAUCAUAGUUAGUUAAAAGGACACGUGUCAAAUGAUACACCAUAGUUUAUGGUGAGUAAAAAUGCUCCUCGUGGGAAUUUGGUGGACGUUGGCUGUCAGUGAGUUUGGUCGCACGAUUUACGAUAAAUGAAUAUAAUUAGAAAAUUCUUGAACUCUUCACAAAGAGGAUUCUCAUUCAUAUUUUUCUAUCUUUCUUCAAUAUUUGACCUUUUAUUUUUAUUUUUUAUAAGUUGUGGCAUAUAUUUGUCACAAAAGGUUUAAGCGAUAGCAAAAAUACAAAAAGCUGAGAAUAGAUUCCAGCACUAGGGCUGGGUUUGGUUGGCAAACCGUGCCAAUUUCUUGUGCCACUUGCCGGCCGUAUAUAUAUAAUUACCGAAAAUUAGUUACCGCUAGCCAACCGUCUUUUUGCAGUUGCUAAAAAUCAGUUCAACCGAAAUUAUUGGUUAGUUCGGUUGACAAAUGGCAACCAAUGGUUUGCAAAUAAGCUACAAAAACAACAAUUGAAGACCAUGCAUUGACCCGUAAACAACAAACCCAAAAAGAAAAAAAGAAGUUGCUGCAAUUUUUCAAUUGAUGAUAAGCCAACAUAUUCAUGACCUAACAAAUUAAAAUGAAAAUCAAAACAAAACUCAAGCCAACAACAAUGUCAGCAAACAUAAUCCAAAUAGUUAUAAGUUUCACAAACUCAAAAGUCUAACUAAUAUAAUUUUAUAAAUUCAAUUGUAGCAACUAAUGCAUAAACAAAAAACUUAAAACUCAAAAGUAUGGUUAUGGUUAUAAGAUCUCCUUAUUAUAAUCCCAAAACAAAUAACUUCUUGUUUUGAUAAUGCAUAUUCAUUGAAGUAGCAGCAAUCAAUGCAUGUGAAAUCUUUCAUGAAUCAAUUCUUUGAGGCACUUAGAAUUGAUGUUCCUGCUUGAAAUGUAGAACCAUUAACUAUUUCAGUUCAAAUGUUACAUAAAAAAAAUAUGAUUAGCUAGAAUAAGAAAUAAUAUUGAAUAAUAAAUUAAAAAUAUCAAUAAACAUUGGAUUGAAGUGCUAUAAUUAGAAUUAGAAAAAUAUAUCAAUACUUACAAUUUUCCAGUUCUUCACAUGUCAAGCAUGUAAAAAAUACCUAAAACAUCUAAAUAGAAUAUAUAUAUAUAUAUUGGUAGGUAUGGCAUUCCGCCAAUAUACAAAAUCCAAUACCAAAGCCAUACCAUUAAUUGUCGGUUUGGUAUAAUUGUCACAUCCCGGGCCGGGGCGGACCACUUUCCGGGCCCGCUCUACCAUCGUAGCACGAUAAUGUCCGCUUUAGGUCUCGGCCACACCCUUACGGUUUUGUUUCUGGGAACUCACGAGCAACUUACCAGUGGGUCACCCAUCAUGGGAGUGCUCUAGCCCCCUUCUCGCUUAACUUUGGAGUUCCUACGGAACUCAAAGCCAGUGAGCUCCCAAAAGGCCUCGUGCUAGGUAGGGAUGAGAAUAUACAUUUAAGGAUCACUUCCCUGGGCGAUGUGAGAUGUCACAAUAAUGCCAACAGAUUAUGAAAAAAAUGCAAAAAUUAUACUAUAGCAUUAUGAACUGACCGGUAUGGUUCGGUCGGUAAAUUGAUUUAUAGCAAAAUUUCCCACCCCUGUCCAGCACAAUUCAAUACUGCAAUCAGUGCUUUACAUAUCUACAUUAUUUGUUUGUAGAUCACAUUCUUUAGAUAUUUUUGGAUUAGUCUCUGUUAAGUCACUCGUUCCUCUGAGAAUAGAGGUUAUAUCGCAUCACCAGUUUAUUACGCUACAAUCAUGAACUUAUUGAAUGGAUAAUAACAACAACAACAAAGUCUUAUUCUAAUAAGUGGGGUUGACUAUAUAAACUUAAACGUCACUGCGCUCAGUUUUGCGUUUAUUAAAUGUAUACACAAUGUGUUUAAUACAUGACCAACUUUACAAAUAUUUUUGGAAAGUAACAUUCACACACUUGUUUUUUUAACUUUUUACACAUUCAUGUUUGAUUCUGACCACUAAUUAUGUAUAAUUUAUUCAAUCUAAUAGUCAUAAAUAAAAAUAAUUGAGUAAAAAACUAAAAAAAAUCCAUGACGCUACUGAGCCUGAAUUUUAAUUACAAUCCUCGUACAAGUAGGAGUGUAGGAGGAUGUGACAUAAUUGCUUUUAUUCAAUCCACAUUCUUCUCCCCCACUUGACCAUUUCAUCAACAACGUUGUCUGCCUUUGUUUCCUUUUUCAAUUUGAUGCUAGGACCAAACAAGAAACAAAGCAACACUAGACAAAAACAACUGCUGUACAAAUAAAUGAAGAUUUAGGGAAGAUAGUUUUCUUAUUAGUUAGGAUUUUUACAAUGAGUGUCGCAUUCUUUACCUAAAUAAGUUUAUAUGCUUGUCAGAUUAGUCAUGAAAACUCACUGUUAAAUUAAAUGAAUGGUAAUAAAAGCAGAAAACAUGAGGCAAAAAGUCGAAGUUAACAUUAAACUUGACAUGGAUUACCACAAUCCUACGACUACCACAUAACAAGAACACAAGGGAAACAAAAGAACAUAAAAACUAAAGUUGAGAAACAAACAAACACCCACAUUAGACAACAGACUGCAUACUUUUAUUUUAGACCACUUUUGUAGUACCCUCAAAGCUAAUUGGCAAGAUAGUUAAUCACCAUAAGUGGUAAUGCUGUCCAUAAUCUUGGCCACCACCUCCUUAGAAUCCCUCAGCUUUUUUAUGCUUUUGUUAAGCUUCUCACGCUUUACUGCCACUGCCGGCGACUCCUCCAGCAUCCUCUCGAUUCCCCCGCCGUAUGGUCCCAUCAACUCAUUCACAAUCUCAGCUUCCAACUCUUUGUUCACAAGCUUAAAGACAGACAGCUGCAAGUGCAAUGCCAUGGAGUCCACAAGCCUCCUCAAAACAACCUUCCAAUAGGCAAUCAUUCUCAUUUUAAGGUCAUAAGCUUGACCUAACACAAGCGGGUACAUCCUCAGACAACCGACUUCCACUUCCCCGAUGCCUUCUAUAUCUAUGAUAGAAGGUUUCUUCUCAUCAGCUAAGACUCCAUGAAUGAAUUCAUUUUGAUUAGCCAUCAACUUGUUCCAUUCGGAAACAUAAUCACCAUCACAUGUAUAAUCUGUCAGCUUUUCCAUCUCUACAAGCUCCAGCAUCCACUUGAUUGACCUUUCCUUCAUCUUGGCCAUUAGAUUAUGGCCGGCACGCCUUGCUGACAGCUGCAGCUGAUGAUAGUUCUCCGUAUAAUGCAUCAACACAGAAAUAACCACCUCUUCAAUGUAGCUCCACACUUUUUCCACAAAUGCUAUCGGAAUACUCGAAAUUUCAUCCACUUUUCCCUGCAAGAUACUGAGGAAAGCAUUGCGUGGAAGAAAAUUUGGAAGUGAAAUACCUUUGGCCUUCUCCAAGAUCUUGAUCUCCUUCAUCAAGAAGUUGCUCUUUGCAUCAGUUUCAGCACAUCUGUGAAGUUCAUCAGAGUACAGGUUGACCAAUCUAGCAGUGCAGUGCAUGCUGUCUUCUGCGUACUCGUCAAAUUCUCCUCUCAAAAGAAUCUUCCUAAGCGAUUCCUUAGCCAAGCCAAUGAUUUGCAUAAAGGCCGUCAUGGCCUCGGCAACAGAUGAAAGACUCUUUGGCAUUUUAUUCAGUUCCAUAAUGCAGAAGUUCAGCCUGUCAUUGAUCUUCUUCACUAUAUCGGGUAUAUUUCUUGCUAUGCUGUUUGCUUGAAUUUGGACCAGCUUCUGUGCUAAAACUGGAAUACCGACAAUGGACUUGUCAAUCUUCGAAAGCAGGGGAUGGGUUUGAAAUAGUUCAUGAGCCAUCGCCGCUGCCUCCUCAUAAGUUUCGUCACCAAUCCUGUUCCUUACACAGACAUAACCAAGACCAAUGUUUACAUCAUCUCCGGUGACCUUCUCAAGUAGUCCUUCCGGUGCCUUGUCCACUUUCGUAACCACAGCGAGCGUCCUCUCACCAGUUUUAUCUACACUUUGUGACAUCCGAAUUGACUCACACGUAGUAAAAUCCACCGUAGCAGACAAUACAUUCAGAAUAAUACUUUCUUCCGGCUUAAUAUACUCCAUGAUCAUAUCUUUGAUCUGAUCAUAAAUAUUUUCAGGUUGGCCAUGGACCGGAACCCUUGUGAUUCCCGGAAGAUCAACCAUAGUCAGAUCCGGAACCCCAUUCUUCUUCACCAACAAAUUAAGUGGCGUGUUCGAAAUUCCCUUACCUCCUCCCGCAAUAGAAUUAGUAGCUUUCACAAUAUCUUUGGCGAUAUUGUCUUCAUCAGUACGAUCAACUCUGCCAUUGUACUCCAAGGAAAGUUCAGGCUGAGGACUCGAGUGGUGUUCCAGCCUCAUAAUAAGAGGCACUCUCCUGCAGAUGCCUUGGCCCCGAGGGAGGCUGAUGCCGGCCAAGGAUUCGAGCACGCUGGACUUCCCCGAUGACUGGUCUCCGACCACCACAAUCGUUGGCAGCUGAAUGCCUUCAUCCAUCACCAUCAAGCUGCGUAACUUGUCUACCGCAUCCAGAAGAGGGCGGAUCUUGUCGUUGUAGGACGACACAAUGGGUGCGCAUUUGAGAGGUACUGCGUCUAGUUCUGCCUGAACCAUGGCGAGGGAGCCUUCACCGUUUAAAUCUGUGCAACUCGAUUCCAUUUGCCUUGGUCCUUCCGUUUCUGAAUUAUAGCAAGUGAAAAUAAUGGUGAAAAAUCUAGAGAGAAACCGAGAUAAUUUCAAGCUUAGCUAAAGAAUUGAGGUUCUCUGGCAGCUUACCCUCCAGUUGAGAACCUUUUUUUACUAAGAAUGAUUUCAGGUAAGGGAAAACACCACUUUCGUGACCCUGUAGGAAACGAAGCCUUUCCUUCCAAUGCUGCAUUUCCACAAACUCAAGAGACUCUAAUACCCCAAAAGGCAAGUUACGCUCUCCAUAAAACUCAGCACCAAUUCGAAGAUGGAGUAAAAUGUUCUGUAUUGAGUUUAUGACUUAAUGGAGUAAACUGUUCUAUUUAUAGCUACUGCUAUAUAUCAUUCUUAGCCUUUAAGCAACUUAACUGACUCUCAAUCAACAAUAACAACACAUCUAAUAAAAAUGCUACUUUAUUUGUACCAUCAUUUGCUUACACUGAUAAAUAGCACUCAUACUCAUAAGCUGACAUGGCAGCCACAUCACUUAAAGUAAGAAGAUUACUUGUCAGAGAAGAUAUCAGUCAGGAAGAAGUGAGAAAGCUGGUUUUAGUAAGUGCCUUAGGCUUAAAGGCUUCUGGUAGUACGUAUACUUGUUCAGCAUAACCUAUCGAAGUAAAUGACAACCAGCCGUUUCAAAACCGCAUGCUGAGAGAGUUGUGAUUUGGACUUCCAAACGUUUAGCAAACCACACCUCAUGCGAGCCUUUGAACCCUAAUCAGUGUAAAUGUAAUAUGGACAGUUAACUGAUGACCAUUUUUUGUGCUUGAUGCUCUUGGACUUCAAUCAACCUUUAUAUAUUAUUCAUUCAAAUAAUCGAUCACAAGCUAGCCAAUGUAAGUUGUAACCCAACAGAGACGAGAUGUUGAAGAAAAUUAUAUAUUUUUUGUACUAUGGUAAGAAAACUAAGGCACCCAUUAGAGAAAGAGAAGUGCUAGCAGCCUUUGCACUAAUAUUUGUAUUUGGACCCUUUCAGUUUAACAAAUAACACAUUAUUUUCUAUACAAAAAAAAAAAAGCAAGAAUUUUGUCUAGGAAUUAACGAUGAGAAAUUGAAUCUAACAACCAAAAUUAAAGUUAACAAAAAAAAAUAGAGAACUUAAUUCUUAUCGAAUCGAAUCUACCUUUAUGAUCGUGCUCCAGAGAAAUUGAAAAGAAUGGAGGGUUUUUGAAUUUGGUAUUUUUUGUGUGGAGAAAAAUGAAACAGAAAGAGCCUUUGAAGAUUCCUUUUUGAGUUUUCACAUUAGGAAUUGGAUAUGCUCCCAAUUUUAGUGUCCGGAGCAUGUCCAUCAAUCGAUUUGGGUUGCUAAUUUGUGUGCAAAAGAAAUCAAAGUCGUUCAUUGUGUGUGGUGGGUCAGGAAAAUAAAUUAAAGGAGGCCGUUAGAUUCAAUUUGUGUGGCCCAAAUUGGUUGAUGCACAUGCUCCAGAAACUAAGGUCUGGAGCGGAUCCAAUUCCUUCACAUUGUGGAAUUUUGUUUCACUUUUACCAUUGUAAGACCAUAGAUCAUGGAUGCUGACAUGGUUGGAUAGGUGUCAAAUGAUGGUGUCCUUGGGGUCUCCACUGUGUCAAAGAAAAAGUAGUCCCCAUGGGCAUCCGAGCGGAAAGAGAACCCACGAUAGUAUAAAGAUUUUGCAUCACACUCAUAGCUUUGACAUCAAUCCUUUUCCCCUCCUUGCCGAUGUUCUUUAUAUUUUACUUUCUUUCUUGAUAAGUUGUUUGUAGAUGACAUUUUCUGAGAAUCUCUUGGGUGUCGUAUGCGUGCUACAUCACUCGUUUGUGUCAAAAUAUAUAUAAACAUUAUUUCUUUCAAUUGAUAUUUAAAAUUAAAAGUCUACAGACACUUUUUGGGUGAACUUGAAUUAAGGAAUUCUCAUUUUAUGUGUUAAGUUUUAUGCGGAUGAGUUACGUGGUACAAAUUCAAGAAUUACUCUACAUUUUAAGCUGUUUUUUUAAACAUUUAUAAGCACAUAUAACUGAACUAGAACGCCACAUGACAAUAAAUGAAUUUUAUAUAAAUCAUUGUUACUUGGAGACUAAGAUUAUGACACCAUUAAAUAUUACAUUGUUUUGCAAGAAAAAAGAGAACAUGGGAAAGAUAACAGGACCAAAACAAUUGAGACUACAAUUUAGGACAUAUUGUACCACAUCUUAAAAAAAAAAGUGGAAUUUACUUAUAUUAUGAAACCUACUAGUAUUAAAUGGUUUACAAUGUAAUUUACUAAAGUAUAACCUCUCUAGCUGAUAAGCCUAUGAGUAAUUAGCGUUUGUAGACAUCAAAUGCUAAUGAGAAAAAAAAAAAUCUAAUUUCAUCCUAUCCACCUCUAUUAUAAAAUUUAUGUUUCAAUGCAUAUACUAACGAUCAAAAUUCAAAUUUCAAUUGUAGAACUGAACCAAAUUAUUGGUAACAAAGCGAUAAUAUAACGAUCAAAACUCAAAGAACUCAUGCCCCGAGUCUAUCAAUAUUUAUUAAAUCCAAAUGUUGUCAACUAUUGGUCUAGUGGUAACUCGUCUUAAUUUUUUACAAGCGAAAAUUCUAGAGUACAUCAACUUAUAACAUAAAUUACAAAAUUUAACGGUUAAUAUGUGUUCAAGAAAUCAAAGAAAUCUAAGAUGUAUCAUUUAUGAAUAUGGUCUACAUGCGAAAUUAUCCUCAAAGAUCAUUGUUGGACAUCAAUGACGGAAGAAAAUCGACAAGUGCUUUGAAUAUGCUCGACAACGACUCUCAACUAUGUACACUCACGAGCAGCCUUAUAGAGGGCAAGUAUCCUUGACAUAAUUCGAAGACGUAGUAACUAAAGCAUGCUUAGCAGACCUCCAAGAAAUUGUGGUUCCACCAACAACACCCAUUUGGGAUCUUGCCGUGUGCAGAUUGAAUAAGUACCCAUCAUCAACAUAACCAACAAAUGGAACUCGAGAACUGGGGUGGGGGGGGGGGUGGUGUGGGAUGGUUGCACUCGAAGUUGAGUAGGGAUGGAACAAGCCCAGGUCAACAGUACCAUUAAGAUAACAUAGAAUUUCUUUAACACCUUUCAAUGUCUGCGUGUUGGCACAUGAUUGUGUCGUGCUAAGUGAUUCAUAAUGUAGGAAAUGUUAGGUCUUGUACACUGAGAUAAGUACAACAAAGCACCAAUUGCACUUAAGUAUGGAACCUUGGGUUCUAAAACCUCUUCAUCAUCUAUCUUUGGAUAUUAUAAGUCUCGUUGUGCAUUGAUGAGUCCAUAUUGUACUAUAUAUUUUACCCUAAUCUUAGUUACAAUUUUUUGGUUAUUUUGGUGAAGUUUUGAUACUUUGGUUUAUAUUUUUAAUGUAGAACAUUUGAAUUCCUCUUGAGCAUAAAGUGAUCAAACAGACAAAUUUUGGAGCAAUUCCAACUGAAGGAUGUUCGUGAGUCUUUCAAGAUGAUUAUGUCAAAAUUCUAGAUUUUUUUACCAAGCCAUUUGACCGUGGCCAUGAUAAGAAUGCCCAGCGCGCAGUUUUUCUAGAUUGACAUUUCUGGACGUUUUGGGUAUUUUGAAGGUUAAUAUGGCAUAUUUUAAGGAAGAUUCAAUCUGAAGAUUUGUAAAUGACGUCUCAAACUUUUAAAAAAAACCUUUUGGGACCAAAUCGGAGUUGAUUUAAUUAGUCAAAAGUUUGAUUUUCUAAGAAGUCCGAAUUUCAGUUCAAAUAGGAAAUCUUUUAUUUCCUAGUCAUCUUAUUCUAUUAUGUUUCCUAGUUUUUAGAAGACCUUUUCUAAGUAGGAUUUUAUUUUGUCGUAGUACAAAUAAGGCUAUUUAGCUAUUAGGAGGGGAAGGCAUCAAUUUGGAGAACUUAGCUAGGCUUUGACGAUUUGUAUUUCAAGGUGUUUUAUAUCAUUUUUCUAUUUCAAUAAAAUUCCUUUUGUUUUAUGGUUGUUGGUAACUAAUUUCCGUUUGUUCGGGUGAUGCCUUGAGCCUUAGCAUGAAUAUGUAGUUAAUUUAAUUGCUUAUGAUAUUAUGCAUACUUUGAAUUAUCAAUCACUGUACUUUAAACUGUAUUUGUGUCUUAAUGAUUCAUGACCAUUAGGAUGAUUAGAUAAGUAAUUGGAUGCAAUUCGGUCGGAAUACCACCAGGGAAUUGAGUAUUGCUUCUUGUGAUUGAUAGUUGUAAUUUCACCUAGAGCAAAUACCAUGUCUUAGGGGUUGCAUGGUUUUUUCAAGGGGUUUUAACAAAGCGUAAUGAGUCAUGCAUGUUUAUAUUUGAUCUGAAUACCACAGACAGAUUGCAUGUUUGAUAUACAUUCUAGCUUGAAUACCACGAGUAGAAUAUACAUUAGGAAAACCUAACCUUCAAAGUUGCAUGGGUAAUUCGUAAGUAAUUAGUAAAUCUACAUAGGAUUGUUCAGGGGAUGGCUGAAUCUUAGUGCUUUUCUAAAUUUAUUUCUUAAAACCUUUUCUUUUUUAUCUGAUUUCUUCUUAAUUGGUUACUAGUAGUUUUGUGACAACCCGUCCCGAAUUUGUAUGUAUUUUAAUCCCCGAGUGUGUAAAAUGACGGAAAUGCCCUCGAGGCUUAGUGACGUGGAUGUACAUAGAUAGUUUUAAAUUAUUUUUCUCGCUGUCAUAAUUAAAUCAUACACGACGCCACGAGCGCAUUGACGCGAAUUAGGGUUGAAUCGGAUUCGUAACGAAAAUGUUACAAACGAAUAGGUGUAAAUGAAUAAGUUUGGAUUUAUACCUAACCCACCAAUCAUAUUACUUCCUACAAUCUUGGACCCAAUUAAUUGUUUGGGUUAGCUUUAUUUCUUUUUGGACCCUAAAACCCACCAUCUCUUCUUGCCCAAUCCGGAGGUGCGCGCGCGCGCACACACACACACACACACACUAAAAAUAUCUCAUUUCUCUCCUUGGUGACCAAUCACACACACACACUAAAAAUCUCUCAUUUCUCUCCUUGGUGACCAAUCAGACGCACACACACACACAACCUCAUCUCAUCUCCUUCAUCUUCUCGAACUCUCUCAUUCGUCUGUACACCGUACGAACACCAUUCACAAAUCCACCAAAAACUUCACGGAUCAAGUAUUUGAACACCACUAUCACCUUUCCAGUGAUCUCAUGAGCGAAACUCUGAGAACCCAGAGCUUCGGCGAGGUACUCUAUUACUCUAAUGUGAUUAUGGACAUUUCAUGAGAUUUUGAGGCUUAAAUAGGGUCUUAAUCAACUCUAUAAGGAUCCUAGGCUAGUUUUGGACUGGUUUGAACGUCAGAAUCCUCGAGAUCACGGAGUUGCAGUUUUGGCUGGUUGUGUCGAGCUAUUUUCUGUCCAUUUCUCGAAGGUUUUAGGUUCCUAAAUAGGUAAGGACUUGUUCUCCUUGUUGAGAGCUUCAAUUCCAUAUAAACUUUAAGAAUUUUGGUUGAGUUUUGAAGAAGAUAUGAAUAUUUUAAAAUUUCCCAGUUUCCGGCGAGUUCAGACGGCGGCGGAGGACAACGGAUUCCGUCGAAGUUCACCGUUGAAGACAGAGAAUAUUCCGUGAACUUUAACGGAAUAUUCUAACGGCGUCAGGUAACUUUAACGGAAUAUUCUAGGAUUUUAACGAAAUAUUCCCUAACGCUGUUAGGGUUUCCGUAGUUGUAUCAAACACGUGCCUGCGCGUGGGACAUCAGAAAAUUGUUCUAAAAAUAUGGGGAUGUUCGUGGUGUUAAGUAGCCCACGAUGAUAUAUUCAAACACUCAAAUUGAGCAACGCAUGAGAAAUUAUUACACGGUUUUGGUUAUGUACUUUCAAAUUAACAUUUAAUCAGUUGUUUCACAUAUGGGUGAGACGUUUUCGGAGGACGAGUGUAGCCAGGUAGGACUUGGGGGCUACGACCCUGCUACAUACCAGUGAGUGGGCUUUUGGUUUUCUAUAUAUACGUAUAUAUGCUUUACUUUUUCUUAGAAACUUUUUAAAAUGGAUUCACGUUUUUUAAAUGCCAUGUCAAUUGCAUCACAUUUUAGUAUAUGCAUUAGUAUAGAUAUGCAUAAUGUUGCAUGACACUGCGGACGCCCAGGUAAGCUUCAGGUGAGUACAUAUUGAUGAUAGAGAUGGCAACGUGUAUGGUUAUGUUUAGAUAUAUUUAGUGCUCAUUAUCUUGCACCUCGGUAUUAGUGCUCCACUCGAGGCCAGGGCCUAGCGUUCACGUGAUUGUUCGCCUCCCUUACCACACGCUCACCUUGGAUCUAAUGCAGGUGCCAGCCUGUUGUACAGACCACAUUAGGUGGUUCCGACUCGUAGGUGCCUUGCGAUAUUUCGCACAGCCUUCACGUGAUCGUAGCACUUGAACGUACUUAUUCACACCCAGCCUGUCGUACAUACCACAUUAGGUGGUUCUGAAUCGUGUGCAGGAAUUGGUAGAUGAGCUAUAGGUUUAGCCAUACAGGUCACGUUAGGUGACUCCCGCUGCCAUAUCACUUUACAUUGUUUCACAUCACCUGGCUUAUAUAUUUUAUUACUAAGAUACUUGACAUGGCAUAUACUCGGUUUUCACCGAUCUCGAGUAUGAUUUCUAUAUAUGUAUGUAUUAUUAUUUUCUAGGAAAUUAUACGGGUUUUACGGUGAGGGGUUAUUAUGUUUAAAAAGAGAAAUGUGUUUUCAAAACUUUGCUUUUGCCCACUCACAAUUUCUGUUUUGUGCCCUCUAGGUUCUAGCUAGAAGUUUUUGUUGGUGGCUCAUGAGGACUCUACGACGGUUCUGACAGCCUUGCAAUAAUGUAGGAACUUUCUUUCACGUUCUGUAUAAUUAAUACUUAACUUACUAGACUGCACUUAGGUUACCUAUGCUCUGAGUAUUGUAUUUCCCACUUUAAACACUUUCACACACUUACAUACUACUCUAGUGUAACUUAGUUAGUUUUAGUUUUUAAUUACCCACAUUUCAAAUCACUAUCACUUCCGCAUUGCGCACAUGGCUACAUCACCCUCACGUGACGACCAACAUGCCUCGAUUCAGGUCGAGGUGUGUCAUGUUUUUCCUAAAUUAAUUUUAUUAAAUUCGUUUUUAUUAUAUUUAAAUUCAAAAUCAAAAUUUUUGAAUCCUUGUUUUUAGAUAAUUAACUAAGAUUUUGGUUUUGCAUAAAUUGUUUUAAAUAAUCCUUGUGGAAACGAUCUUGCUUGAACCGUUUAUACUACAAUUACCUUAUUCUCUUGCAAGUAUUUUGUGUGAUUAUAACCUCUUUACAUAGGUACUAAAAAUCCUAUCAUGCAUCAAGUGUACGGGUGGCCAUGAGAGUACUCAAAGGCAACACUUUAUCAUUAAAGCAAUGUAACACCGUCUUGGUGUUGUUUGACUGAUGGACCAGAAUUUUGGAUUGUGAACUACCUUAGUACAUAUGUGCAGAAGUGUGGCGGGUGACGUAAACAUAAAUAAUCAUUUUAACAUGCAUGUUAAUGGAAUGUUGGAUUCCGUUUAAUCAUAUUAAAUUAAUUUAUGUAUUGAUUAUCUUCAGGUAUAAUAAACCACAAAUGUGUGUUGCACGCCCUAGGGAAAUUUUUGAGAAACUUUUGGGUUCACUAGUCUGUAUCACGCCACUUGCUCGUCUAAAAAAGAGAUUCUUUCACGUCACCAGUUUACCAUGCUACAAUUUUGAAUUUAUUAGAUGGAUAAUACAUUUUGUUUAAUAAAUGACCAACUUUACAAAUAUUUUUGUGAAGUGAUUUCACACAUAUUUUUUAGCUUUUUACACACCCAUGUUUAAUUUUGGAUGUUGAUUCUGUUUGAUUUAUUCAAUCUGAUGGCCAUAAAUAAAGAGAGGUAUGUGAGGAACUAAAAAUGGUGUGUGAAAAUCCAUGACACUGCUGAGCAUGAAUUUUAGUUAGAUGAAAAAAAACCUUACGCCUGAUACAAGUGGGAGGACAUGACAUGAUUGCCUUUAUUCAAGGAUGAGGAAUGCUAAGGUGACUAUCAAGAGUAGGACUCUCCAAGAACUCUUUGCCACCUCAUAGUUAGUUUAACGUCAAUUCAUUCAUGUGCCAGCAUUAUAAGACUAAUGCUAGGAAGACUAAAUUUGUAGACUAAAUUUGUAAACUAAAUGACAUGGAAGUUGAUUAUUAGAUUAUUACUUAAGCGUUAAUAAACGUGCUCAUUUUCUAUUGGUGACACGUCAUUUAGUUUGUAAAUUUUGUCUACAAAUUUAGUCUCCAUAGCGGUACUUGUAUUAUAAAACAUUGUGCCAAAUAUAUGAGGUGACAAAGAGUCUCAAUUUUGAGAGAGUAUCAUUAGCAUUUCUCUUCAAGAAUUUAUCCACAUUCUCCCUACUUAAUAAUUUCACCAAAAAUGGUUUCUGAAUGCUAAUGAUACUCCCUCAAUUUUGAGAGAGUAUCAUUAGCAUUUCUCUUCAAGAAUUUAUCCACAUUCUCCCUACUUAAUAAUUUCACCAAAAAUGGUUUUUGAAUGCUCACUUAUCAAAAUUAAGCCCCUGUUUAGUAUUUUUUUUUUCAUCAAAAGUUGCUUCACUUUAAAGUUAAGUAGUAAAAGUGUGUUUGGUAAAAAUAAAUUAUUUUGCUUAUAUUAAGCAUAAUGAAUGACCUCUAGAUAGCAGCUUUUAAAAGCAUCUUGUAGAUACAAAUGCUUUAAUACAAAGCAGAGUUGAGCCUUUAAUGAAUAUUUUUAAUUCCUAUAAUACGCUAAAUAAUUUUAAAAAAUAACAUUAUUUAUUCUUGUAGGCACAUUUUAUCAUUGAAGAAUAAAGUUGUGAAAUCUCGUUCCCAAAAGUUCAUUAUUUAAUUUAUGUAUUUCAUAUCUAUUUGAUUUUAUUUAACUAUAUUUUUGUUAAUAUUAGAAUUUUAAUUAUUUAGUUACAAAUUUUAGUUUUUCAUAAUUAGUCAAAAAGAAAAAAAAACUAGAAUCUGCCAGAUGGCAGCGGGAGAGAGAUAGACCAAUUAGAAGAGAGAGAAAUGAGAGAAAGGAUGGGGACCUAGCCAAUCAGAAAAGAGAGCAAGGAGGGGAAAUGAGGGAGAGAAAAACCACCCAAUACCGGAUUUUUGCAUCGACUUGUGAUUUCGUCGAUUUCAUCGGUUUUUCCGACGAAUUCCACUUAGCCGUCACUUGCACACUCCACCCCGACCUCCAUUCUCUCAUUUCCACAAAAAAUACGUGAGUUUUUGGCCUGGAUUUCACAAAAAAUUGCGUCGAGGGCUUUGUGGGUGCACGGUGUCAAUUUCGUCAUUUCUAAAAGGUUUUUCGUCAACCACUGCCACCCUUAGGCGUCUUUUGAGUCCAAGAACAUAGCCUAAAUGAGUUUGGGGGUUGCAGAGCUGCGAAUUCGACAAAUCGAGGAACACCCAUUUCUAGGGUUCCGAUGGAUCGAGGGUGUUUUCAGGCGUUUCUCGGUCAAAUUGGACUUUGGCCUAGGUAUGAAAGUUGUUUCCCUUGUUGUGAUCUACAAUUCUGUAAAAUUUGGUAAUUUUUAGAGUUAGGUGAAUUUUUUGGUGAGUCGAGGCGACACAUGGCCCGAAGAACCACUUGACCUUUCUUGGCUAAAUUCAAUACCCUGAUUCCAUAUGUGACUUGUAAUUGAUGAAAUCCCGUCGUUCGAACAUAGUUUUGAUAGAGGCUGCCACUUGAUCAUUAUAUGAAUUGACGAUCCAACCGUUGGAUCGACACCAAACUUUAGUGCGUUAUAGUACGUAAUAUUUGAGACAUUAGUAACUUAGCGAUCAGGAAUCUGAUGUACGGAUCUUUCCGAAUUGAAUUUCUAAGUUUGUAAAAUCAAACAUUGGCCACCAUUUAAUUUUAGCGAUUGGCGGAGAUCUGACAGUCGGAUUGUUCUGAAAUUUUAGGAUAUUGUUCUAGGAGAUUAUUGAGAGUCUUGGGAAGUUAUGCAUCGGAGAUCCAUGGGCAGAUGUUCUAGAUCGAAUUAUAUAGGGUUGUGGACCCCACCGUUGACAGAGAGUUGACUUUUGGUCAAUAUGUUACGAAUUGAUCUUAAAUAAUAAAAUUAGUAUUACUAGAUACUAAGUAGGGCUUAGUGGGCCUAUAUGGGUUGGUGAGCUAUCACAGGUAAUAUAUACCUCGGUAUACGUGUAUGGGAUGCUUUAUGGUGAUAUAUAUAUGUGUGUGUAAUUAACUUCUUGAUAAUACGAAUGAUACGAAUGAUACGAAUGAUAAUUUUUAUGACAAUGUGAGCCUAGAAACCUAUUAGAAGUAUCCUGGUAGAACUUGUAUGCUUAUGUGACAUGUUAGUUAGUGGCCAUGAGGAAUUGAUAGUGCAGGUGAUUACGUUGUAAAUCAUAGAGGUUGAGAUAUACGAGUAAGUAGGUUGUGUGGUGAUAAGAAUGGAUCAUGUAAUAAUGUGGUACGUGGGUGGUCCUGCUUGGUUAAUCUACAUUAGGGGACCACGCCAUGUGAUGCAGGGGUAUGGUCCGGUUUGGUUAAUACACAUUAAGGGACCAUACGCAUCAUAGGGGUGACCCUGCUUGGUUAAUCCGCAUUAGGGAGUCACUGCCUAGGCCAUUUCUUUAUUUCCAUAGUUGGUCUUACUUGGUUAAUCCGCAUUAGGGGACCAUACUAUGGACGAUCCUACUUGGUUAAUCUGCAUUAGGGGACCAUAUGCAUCAUGGGGGUGACCCUGCUUGGUUAAUCCAUAUUAGGGGGUCACUGCCUAUUCCAUUUCUCUAUUUCCAUAGUUGGUCAUGCUUGGUUAAUCUGCAUUAAGGGACCAUACUAUGGGCGGUCCCAAUUGGUUAAUCCGCAAUAAAGGAUCAUACUAUCGGAUACAUGCCUAUGGUUCUACUUGGUAUAUCUGCAAUAGGGGACCAUACGCAAUCUAUGAGUGAUUAUACUUGAUAUAUCCGCGAUGGGUGAUCAUUGCCUGCACAGUUGGAUUAUGCUUAUGAUUCUGCUUGGUAUAUUCGCAAUGGGAGACCAUACACAUUUUAGGGGUGAUGAGGAUUAGUUGUACUUGGUACAUUUCGAUAGGAGCCAUAUUUUAGUCGAAUUUCGUUGAGUGGUUCGAAAUCCUUACUCUUGCUUAUUUCCACAUAAUUAGUCUCGAACCCUAGAUUCGAGUGAAUGAGGAUUACUCACAGUAGACCUUAUGAAUAUAAAUUAGAUUUACCAUGUUAUUACUUAUAAAUCAAGUAAGGAAUUAUGUAGGGUUCUUUAAAUUAAUUCAUGAAAUGAUAUGUUACCUCAUUAAUUGAUUAACGUAGUUAAAUGUUAUUAUUAUGCAUCCUUGAUUCAUGAAAUUGAUUAAUUUACAUGAUUGUGGAAUGACAUUGGUUAUGGUUGGUGUUACUAUGAUUAGAUUAGUUGAUUAAUGUGGAUUGAGAAUAAUAUUGUGCUUCAUUGGUUCUUUGAUAUGAUACAUGUUGUGAAUUGAGGUAUCAUGUUGAAAACAUAGUGAUUUAUAUGAUCGAUGGAAUGGAAAUCUUGAAUGUCAUGUGGGUUUAUUUUGUAGCCCUGAACCUGGUAAUUUCAUGCUUUUCAAGUUCUAAUAAUUGAUUGAGGAAUGCUCUACUUUUAUGCUUAAACGUACUGUGAUAAACUCAGAGUGUAGUGAAUGGUGAACUACGAAUGACUUGAUCCCGUCUUUGGGUACAUAGGCAGUCUAACACAAAGGUUAGAUGCAGCCAUGAAAUAAAAGAAAAUGACUGCGUGGUUAAAUCAUAUUAUUUUUUUUCUUGUCUCGGAGACGAGACAUGAUGAAUAAACUAAGAUGUGCUGAUAUCACGUGUCGAUCUUGGACGUAUGUCGGGAUCGGGGCAUGACAAAAGUGACCACCGCCAUAAUCACCACCAUUGUUGCCACCACCACCACACUACAAUUGUGCCACCACCACCACCACCAUUGCCAUUGUUACCACCAUGCCAUCACCCCCACCAUAAACACAACCGCCACCACUGCUACCACAACUGCCAUCAUCACUGUUAUUGCCACCCCUACCACCGAUGUUGCCUCUGCAGCCCAACCACCACACCCCUUUAUUGGCACCACCACCACCAGCACCACACCAUCACAACCCUUGCCCUUAUCACCAUUGUCGUCGUCAUCACCAAUAUUGUUACGUCUAUUUUUGUCAUUAUAUACAAUUAUAAAUUAUCAAACGCUUUUACACUGUUUUUUAUACUCACAACACUUCUAAAAAUAUAGUUCAUCAAACACUAAACAACUUUAUUUUGUACCAGAUUAUUCUUAAAGCACAUCAGAAGCAGGUUUUUAAAAAAACACAUCAAUCUCAAAAUGGCCUUAAGAUUAUGGGUUUUUCAAUUGAGGUAAAUAUAUUAUGUAUUUGACCAAAACGAUUUUAAAUAAUUUGUCAUAAGAUGACGCGAAAGAAGAACGGAAAUGUGACACAUGAAAUUGAACCAAAGCAAAUGAUUUUCUUGGGUUUUAACACCCAUAUAUUUUUUUGUUGGUUUAUCAUUUUCACCAAGCUCCACCUCAUCUAUAAUCUUUAUGUAUUAUGUUCCGAUCCCGAAACCAAGCUCCACCUCAUCAAUAAUUAAAUAAUUUGAUGGCAUUACUUUUGUUUCCUUUCUCAAUUUAAAGGCCCAAACAAGAAACAAAGCAACACUAGACAAAGACCACUGCUGUAUAAUGGGUGUUUUAGAAACUCAAAAGGAAAGAAACUCAAAAGCUUCAAUUUGUUUGUCGUGCUCUUUUAACUUCCACUUUUACUGUUAUACAAGCGAAAACAAGAGAGAUUUAAUAUGAGUAAAGGGAUACUUUACUUCUUGAGAUACAAGUUUACUGUUGUAAUCUAGCAAGGUUUCUUCUAAGGAUCUUGGCUUUCUUUAUCUGUAAAGAAGAUGGGUUUUUGGUUGUUUAAUUAAUUUCUACCCAGAAUUGCAAGAUAAAAAGGGAUACAAAGGAGAAGACACACACACACGUGUUUUUUUAAAGAUGAUUACAUUUCCUGGAUAGAACUGAGAAGAUAUAUAAACCGGCAAACAAGUUUAUUUAUCUUAGGAAAGUAACAGUAUUUCCAUAUUCACUUUCAUGUUAUUACAACUUUCAUCUUAUUACAACUUUGAUGUCGAAAAUUAGAAAAUUUAAGGAAGGUGGUUUUCUUAUCAGUUAGGGUUUCUAUAAUGCGCGUUGAAUUCUUUAUCUAAGUAAGUUUUUAUCUGUUAGAUCACGACGGCUCACUGUCAAAUUAAAUGAAAAGUAAUGAAAGCACAAAACAGAAAACAAAAUAUCGUAGUUGACUGCUGGUAGGAUAAAUUUGCAGUUAAAUUUCAUCGAAAACAUUAAACUUGACAAGGAUUACCAGAACCAUAAAAUUACCACAUAACAAGUACACAAAGGAAACGAAAAACUUGAAACAAAAGUUCACAAACAAAUAACCAACGACAUAAGAAAACAGACUGCAUACUUUUAUUUAGACCAUUUUUUAGUACCCUCAAAACUAAUUGGCAAGUUAGUUAAUCCCCAUAAGUGACAAUGCUGUCCAUAAUCUUGGCCACUACCUCCUUAGAAUCCCUCAGUUUUUUUAUGCUUUUGUUAAGCUUCUCACGCUUUACUGCCACUGCCGGGGACUCCUCCAACAUCCUCUCAAUUCCCCCACCGUAAGGUCCCAACAACUCAUUCACAAUCUCAGCUUCCAUCUCUUUGUUCACAAGGUUGAAAACAGACAGCUGCAAGUGCAAUGCCAUGCAGUCCACAAGCCUCCUCAAAACAACCUUCCAAUAAGCAAUCAUUCUCAUUUUAAGGUCAUAAGCUUGAGCUAACACAUGCGGGUACUUCCUCAGAACACCGACUUCCACUUCCCCGAUGCCUUCUAUAUCUAUGAUAGAAGGCUUCUUCUCAUCAGUUAAGACUCCAUGAAUGAAUUCGUUUUGACUAGCCAUCAGCUUGUUCCAUUCGGAAACAUAAUCACCAUCACAUGUAUAAUCUGUCAGCUUUUCCAUCUCUACAAGCUCCAGCAUCCACUUGAUUGACCUCUCCUUCAUCUUGGCCAUUAGACUAUGGCCGGCACGCCUUGCUGACAGCUGCAGCUGAUGAUAGUUAUCCGUAUAAUGCAUCAACACAGAAAUAACCACCUCUUCAAUGUAGUUCCACACUUUUUCCUCAAAUGCAAUCGGAAUACUCGAAAUUUCAUUCACUUUUGCCUGCAAGAUAAUGAGGAAAGCAUUGCGUGGAAGGAAGUUCGGAAGUGAAAUACCUUUGGCCUCCUCCAAGAUCCUGAUCUCCUCCAUCAAGAAGUUGCUCUUUGCAUCAGUUUCAGCACAUCUGUGAAGUUCAUCCGAGUACUGGUUGAGCAUCUCAACCAAUCUAGCAGUGCAGUGCAUGCGAUUGUCUUCCGCGUACUCCUGAAAUUCUCCUCUCAAAAGAAUCUUCCUAAGCGAUUCCUUAGCCAAGCCAGUGAUUUGCAUAAAAGCCGUCAUGGCCUCAGCAACCGAUGAAAGACUCUUUGGCAUUUUGUUCAGCUCCAUAAUGCAGAAGUUCAGCCUGUCAUUGAUCUUCUUCACUAUCUCAGGUAUAUUUCUUGCUAUGCUGUUUGCUUGAAUUUGGACCAGCUUCUGUGCUAAAACUGGAAUGCCGACAAUGGACUUGUCAAUCUUCGAAAGCAGAGGAUGGGUUUGAAAUAGUUCAUGAGCCAUCACCGCUGCCUCCUCAUCAGUUUCGUCACCAAUCCUGUUCCUUACACAGACAUAACCAAGACCAAUGUUUACAUCAUCUCCAGUGACCUUCUCAAGUAGUCCUUCCGGUGCCUUGUCCACUUUCGUAACCACAGCGAGCGUCCUCUCACCAGUUUUAUCUACACUUUGUGACAUCCGGAUUGACUCACACGUAGUAAAAUCCACCGUAGCAGACAAUACAUUCAGAAUAAUACUUUCCUCCGGCUUAAUAUACUCCAUGAUCAUAUCUUUGAUCUGAUCAUAGAUAUUUUCAGGUUGGCCAUGGACUGGAACCCUUGUGAUUCCCGGAAGAUCAACCAUAGUCAGAUCCGGAACCCCAUACUUCUUCACCAACAAAGUAAGUGGCGUGUUUGAAAUUCCCUUACCUCCCCCCGCAAUAGAAUUAGUAGCUUUCACAAUAUCUUUGGUGAUAUUUUCUUCAUCAGUACGAUCAACUCUGCCAUUGUACUCCAAGGAAAGUUCAGGCUGAGGACUCGAGUGGUGUUCGAGCCUCAUAAUAAGAGGCACUCUCGUGCAGAUGCCUUGGCCCCGAGGUAGGCUGAUGCCGGCCAAGGAUUCGAGCACGCUAGACUUCCCGGAUGACUGGUCUCCGACCACCACAAUCGUUGGCAGCUGAAUGCCUUCAUCCAUCACCUUCAAGCUGCGUAACUUGUCUACCGCAUCCAGAAGAGGGCGGAUCUUGUCGUUAUAGGACGACACAAUGGGUGCGCAUUUGAGGGGUACUGCGUCUAGUCCUGCCUGAACCAUUGCGAGGGAGCCUUCACCGUUUAUAACUGUGCGACUCGAUUCCAUUUUCCUUGGUCCUUGCGUUUCUGAAUUAUAGCAAGUCAAAACAAUGGUGAAAAAUCUAGAGGGAAACCGAGAUUGUAGAGAGAUGAGAGAGAAUUCGAAGAUGGAAAAUGUUCUGUAUUGGGUUUAUGACUUAAUGGAGUAAAAUGUUCUAUUUAUAGCUACUGCUAUAUAUCAUUCUUAGCCCUUAAGCAACUUAACUGACUCUCAAUCAACAAUAGCAACACAUCUAACAAAAAUGCUACUUUUCCGAUAUAUUUGUACCAUCAUUUGCUUACAUUGAUAAAUCGGACUCAUACUCAUAAGCUGACAUGGCAGCCACAUGACUUAAAAGUAAGAAGAUUACUUGUCAGCGAAGAUAUCAGUCAGGAAGAAGUGAGAAAGCUGGGUUUAGUAAGUGCCUUAGGCUUAAAGGCUCCUAGUUGUAUGUAUAAUUGUUCAGCAAAACCUAUCGAAGUAAAUGACAACCAGCCUUUUCAAAACCGCAUGCUGAGAGAGUUGUGAUUUGGACUUCCAAACGUUCAGCAAACCAAACCGCUUGCGAGCCUUUGAACUUCUAAACCCUAAUCAGUGUAAAUGUAAUAUGGACAGUUAACUGAUAACCAUUUUUUGUGCUUGAUGCUCUUGAACUUCAGUCAACCUUUAUAUAUUAUUCAUUCAAAUAAUCGAUGACUAGCUAGCCAAUGUAAGUUGUAACCCAACAGAGACGAGAUGUUGAAGAAAAUUAAAUAUUUUUUGUAAUUUGGUAAGACAAACAAAGGCACCCAUUGGAGAAAGGGAAGUGCUAGCAGCCUUUGCCCUAACAUUUGUGUUUGGACCUCUUCACUUUAACAACUAACAGGUAUCAUUUUCUAUACAAAAAAGCAAGAAUUUUAAAGCUUUUGUCUAGGAAUUAACGAUGAGAAAUAUAAAAUAUACAUUAUUAUGUCAUUCAUUAAAAUGAAAAUUUUCAAAUGCAAAAGUUAGUGCAAAAGUGUAUUUCUCUUAGAAAAAUUCAAUCUAACAACCAAAAUUAAAGUUAACAAAAAAAAGUAGAGAACUUAAUUCAUAUUGAAUCUACCCUUAUGAUCGUGCUCCAGAAAAAUUGAGAAGGAUGCAGGGUUUUUGAAUUUGGUAAAGCUUAAGGAUUAAGGUUGCUGUUUUUUUUUUUUUUUUUUUUUUUUUUUUUUUUUUUUGGAGAAAAGUGGAAGAGAAAGAGCCUUUGAAGAUUCCUUUCUGAGUUUUCACAUUGUGGGGAUUUUGUUUCACUUUUACCAUUGUAAGACCAUAGAUAAUGGAUGCUGACAUGGUUGGACAGAUGUCGAAUAGUGGUGUGGUAUGCCCAAUCGGUUUAGGUUGCUGAAAAUAGCAACUUUAACUAAAAAUAGUGCAGGACUUUAAAAGAGGAAGGGGAAAUAAGAGUUUGAGGAAAAAGAGGCAACUUUAAUUCAUCAUUUCAUAGGUUCUUUACGCUCUCCAUUAUUACAUAUUUAUGCUCCUCAUAAAAGAGAAAAUAGAGUUUUAACGAAAAGCCCGCGGUACUGUUCACUUUAAUGAAAAACCACAUUUUUACACUAAAAAGUCAAAUCUGGUACUAUUCAUAUUACUCUUUAUUUUGUUCUUAUCGUUAAAAUUCAAAGUUUUAAAGCAUUUUUCAUUAGUUUUCCUAAGAGAACAACCCUAGCUACUUGGACAUAAAAAAAAAGGCUAGUACGGGCAAGUUGCAAGAGGAGAAGUAGUGGGCUCAAGUAAAUGGGCUUAAUAACUCCCCCCUCUCCUUGAGAAUAGGCCUGACCUUAGGUCAAGAAAUCGAGGUAACGGGCCAAGAUGUCGUCAGCUUCCUCCCAGGUGACAUCUUCAGUGGGUAGGCCAACCCACUUGAUCAACCAUUUUGUCGCAGCUUUAUUUUUUUUUCUUGAAUAUGCCCUUGUCUAAAACUCUUUCUGGUUGCCAGUGUAGAACCCCAGUGGAGUCGAUAGGAGGCAAAACUGACAGUGGAGGAGAAAUACUACCAAUCUUUUGUUUAAGGAGAGACACAUGAAAGACGGGGUGGAUUUUGGAGUCUAAAGGCAAACGAAGCUGAUAUGCUACGAAACUGAUGCGCUUAGUUAUCUGAAAAGGUCCAUAGAACUUGGGUGCCAGCUUGUUUGUUGUUCUAGUAGCCACUGAUUGUUAGCGGUAUGGUUAAAGCUUCAGGUAAACCCAGUCACCAACAUUAAAUUCCCGCUCAGUUCUCUUGUUAUCAUAGACUUGUCUCAUUUUGUUCUCUGCAAGCUGCAAAUUUGUUCUCAUAAGACAGAUUAAUUUGUCCUUAUCCUGUAUUGCAGCAUCAAUUGAGUGUACCGUCGUGGAGCCGAGCAUAUACAUGCAAAGGUGGUUCAAUGUCAUAAACAGCCUGAUAUAGAGACAUUUUGAUGGAAGAUUGGAAGCUUGUAUUAUACCACCAUCUAGCCCAGGGAAUGAGAGAAGACCAAUUGGUGGGUUUGUCUAUUGAGAAACAUCGAAGAAAAUGUUCCAAUGUGCAGUUAAGGACUUUCAUUUGCCUAUUCGUUUGAGGGUGGUAACCUAAACUUAGGCAAAGUUUGUUGCCUUGGAGUUUAAAGAACUCUUGCCAAAAGUUACUAAGAAAAUUGGGUCGCGAUCUGAAACGAUCUAUUUUGGCAUACCAUGGAGUCAGAAAACCUCAUUGCUGAAAGUAUCAGCUACAAAGGCAACUGUGUAUGGGUGCUUUAAUGGGAUAAAGUGGCCAUACUUUGAUAGGCGAUUGAUGACAACUAGGAUCACGGUGUACGCGUUGGAAAAUGGGAGCCCUUUGACAAAAUCAAGAGUGAUGUCCUGUCAUAUGCCAGUGGGGAUGAGCAAGGGAUGCAGUAACCUAGGAGGGUGUUUUGUAUGCAUUAAGCCACAAUUUUUUUUUGUUUCCUUUCGAAUUCCCGGCCAUAAAACUUUUUUGGAGAGUCUUUUGUAUGUUCAAAGGAAGCCCAAGUGACCAUCUUAGAGAGAUGCAUGGAAUUCAUCCAAGAGUUUAGGUUGCCAUUGGGAUGUGAGUAGUGGGACAAAGAUCUGUUGCUUGUAGUGCAACACAUCAUUUAUAAUUGAGAACCCUUUGAUUGAAGUGUUGGGUAUUGGAACUAAAAGAUUCCAAACCUUUUGCACUUCUAGAUCCUAUGCAUAAGACUGUUGCAACUGAGGAAUGCAAUCAAAUAUAGGGGUAGAGAGGCCUAUUAAGAGCAAAAGUUCUUGUUGGCAGGAGAUAGCAUAUGGAGCACUGUUUUGAGAACCCGACCUAUACUCGACCGAGUAGUUGUACCCCAACAAUUUCACCAGCCAUUUUUAAUUUUUUUCACAAAAACUGUAAGUUAUAACUCACGUUUUCCAAUCGAUUUUAAGAACUUUUACAAGAUUCAUUAUAAGCCAAAAUUUGAGUCGUUUUAGUCGCACCACAUGUUUUCUAAAAUUAAUUUAGGACAUCCCAAAUAUUUUUCAACACCUACAAAUUUCUUUGGUGGCUUCACUAUUAGUUUAUACUAUUUUUCUAACUCAUAGUAACAACGAAAAAAUUUCUCAGCAUGACCAAAAUGAUUGAUGGUGCAUCAGAGACUACUUUUAUCGAUUUCAAAUUUGAAGGACUAAAGUAAGGAGUUAUGCCAGAAAGUGGCCCUCUACCACAGUGGUGGAGAGGAGUAUUGGCCUUACACUACGACAGAGCUUCGAACCAUGACGGCUCCCUAAUCUAACAUCUAAUUAAAAAAUCUAUUGUUUGACGAAGAAAAAAAAGUAAGGAGUUAUGUCAAUUUCAAAAUCCGUUUUGGCCCCUUUUUAACAUGGAUGGAGGGUUUCAAAUUCCUUGUUACUACCUUUUAGGGGUUUUAUUAAAUUUUAUGAAUUUUUUUGUUGGUAUAUUUGAGCGUGUCUUUAAAAUGAUUAAAAUUGUUUUAAUAUAAUAAAAUAAAAAGUGUUUAUGACAACAUUUUGACCAAAAAAAGGACUUUAUGGAGAGGUCUAUGAGCAAAAUGCAACUCUUACUACCUAUUUGUACUAUAAUUUGUACCACUAAUAAAGAUGAGACUCACAUGCGUUGGCGAGCCUUACCUCUAUUAGAGAUAUAGUAGAAAUAUAUGGUAAAUGUAGCAUUACUCGUCUAUGAGUGUUUUCAACGGAGUACAAUUCUCUGUCAUCCUAUUCCUAGUGUGGUUUAGUCCAUACUAAGUGUAUGGAUUCUAACAAACGAUCAAUUAAAACAUGAAAUCUAAUAUGGACAUUUAAUUAAAUGUUUAUUAAUAUUUACGGUGCGGUUCGGUUUCGGUGUAGUUUUCAAAAGCCAAAACCGAAACCAAACCGUUUUCUAUGUUGCGGUUCGGUUUCAAAACCGAAACCGUUUCAAAACCGCAAAACCAAACCAUUCGGUGCGGUUUGAUUUGGUUCGUGUUUUGGUUUCGGUUUUCGGUUCUAAGUGCCAAUCCCUAGGAGAGCGUGUCCCUUUUUUUUGAAAAAUAUGGAUCAUUUCCCUUAAGCUCCUCCUACACACACACACACACACACACACACACACACACACACAUAUAUAUAUUAAAAUGAUAACCUUUCUUGGAUAGAACUGAGCAUAUAAACAUGCAAAGGUAAUGUUAGAGAGACCAAAGUUUUAAACAAAAUAAUGUGUUACCAAUAAAAAAUAAGCACGUUAAUCAACGCUAAAGUAAUAAUUCAAUUAUCAAUAAGCACAUCAUUUGGUUUGUAAAUUUGAUUUAAAAAAUUUGGUCUCCCUAACAUUAUCCAACCUGCAAACAAGUUUAAUUAUCUUAGACAAGCAACAUUAUUUACAUAUUUACUUUCAGGCAAUUACAAAUUUGACGUCGAAAAGAAGAUUUAAGGAAAAUGGUUUUCUUAUUAAUUAGGAUUUUUACAAUGCGUGUCGCAUUCUUUACCUAAAGUUUUUAUGUCUGUCAGAUUGGUUAUGAAAGCUCACUGUCAUAUUAAUAAACGGUAUUAUAAGCAGAAAACAUGAGACAAAAAAUAGGAGUUAAACUGUAUGUAAGAGGAAAUCGCACUUAAAUUUCAUUAAUAACAGUAAACUUGACAAGGAUUACCACAAUCAUACGACUACGGACUAUUACACAACAAGAACACAAGGGAAACAAAAGAACUUAAAAACAAAAGUUGACUAACAAACAACCACCCACAUCAGACAACAGAAAGCUAAUUGCCAAGUUAGUUAAUCACCAUAAGUGAUAAUGCUGUCCAUAAUCUUGGCCACCACCUCCUUCGAAUCCCUCAGUUUUUUUAUGCUUUUGUUAAGCUUCUCACGCUUUACUGCCACUGCCGGGGACUCCUCCAACAUCCUCUCAAUUCCCCCACCGUAAGGUCCCAUCAACUCAUUCACAAUCUCAGGCUCCAUCUCUUUGUUCACAAGGUUGAAAACAGACAGCUGCAAGUGCAAUGCCAUGGAGUCCACAAGCCUCCUCAAAACAACCUUCCAAUAAGCAAUCAUUCUCAUUUUAAGGUCAUAAGCUUGAGCUAACACAUGCGGGUACAUCCUCAGAACACCGACUUCCACUUCCCCGAUGCCUUCUAUAGUUAUGAUAGAAGGUUUAUACUCGUCAGUUAAGACUUCAUGAAUGAAUUGAUUUUGACUAGCCAUCAACUUCUUCCAUUCGGAAACAUAAUCAUCAUCACAUGUAUAAUCCGUUAGCUUUUCCAUCUCUACAAGCUCCAGCAUCCACUUGAUUGACCUUUCCUUCAUCUUGGCCAUUAGAUUAUGGCCGGCACGCCUGGCUGACAGCUGCAACUGAUGAUAGUUCUCCGUAUAAUGCAUCAACACAGAAAUAACCACCUCUUCAAUGUAGCUCCACACUUUUUCCUCAAAUGCUAUCGGAAUACUCGAAAUUUCAUUCACUUUUCCUUGCAAGAUAAUGAGGAAAGCAUUGCGUGGAAGGAAGUUCGGAAGUGAAAUACCUUUGGCCUCCUCCAAGAUCUUGAUCCCCUCCAUCAAGAAGUUGCUCUUUGCACCAGUUUCAGCACAUAUGUGAAGUUCAUCCGAGUACUGUUUGAGCAUCUCAACCAAUCUAGCAGUGCAGUGCAUGCGAUUGUCGUCCGCAUAGUCCUCAAAUUCUCCUCUCAAAAAAAUCUUCCUAAGCGAUUCCUUAGCCAAGCCAAUGAUUUGCAUAAAGGCUGUCAUUGCCUCGGCAACAGAUGAAAGACUCUUUGGCAUUUUGUUCAGCUCCAUAAUGCAGAAGUUCAGCCUGUCAUUGAUCUUCUUCACUAUAUCGGGUAUAUUUCUUGCUAUGCUGUUUGCUUGAAUUUGGACCAGCUUCUGUGCUAAAACUGGAAUACCGACAAUGGACUUGUCAAUCUUCGAAAGCAGGGGAUGGGUUUGAAAUAGUUCAUGAGCCAUCGCCGCUGCCUCCUCAUAAGUUUCGUCACCAAUCCUGUUCCUUACACAGACAUAACCAAGACCAAUGUUUACAUCAUCUCCAGUGACCUUCUCAAGUAGUCCUUCCGGUGCCUUGUCCACUUUCGUAACCACAGCGAGCGUCCUCUCACCAGUUUUAUCUACACUUUGUGACAUCCGAAUUGACUCACACGUAGUAAAAUCCACCGUAGCAGACAACACAUUCAGAAUAAUACUUUCUUCCGGCUUAAUAUACUCCAUGAUCAUAUCUUUGAUCUGAUCAUAAAUAUUUUCAGGUUGGCCAUGGACCGGAACCCUUGUGAUUCCCGGAAGAUCAACCAUAGUCAGAUCCGGAACCCCAUUCUUCUUCACCAACAAAGUAAGUGGCGUGUUCGAAAUUCCCUUACCUCCUCCCGCAAUAGAAAUAGUAGCUUUCACAAUGUCUUUGGCGAUAUUGUCUUCAUCAGUACGAUCAACUCUGCCAUUGUACUCCAGGGAAAGUUCAGGCUGAGGACUCGAGUGGUGUUCCAGCCUCAUAAUAAGAGGCACUCUCGUGCAGAUGCCUUGGCCCCGAGGGAGGCUGAUGCCGGCCAAGGAUUCGAGCACGCUGGACUUCCCCGAUGACUGGUCUCCGACCACCACAAUCGUUGGCAGCUGAAUGCCUUCAUCCAUCACCAUCAAGCUGCGUAACUUGUCUACCGCAUCCAGAAGAGGGCGGAUCUUGUCGUUGUAGGAUGACACAAUGGGUGCGCAUUUGAGAGGUACUGCGUCUAGUUCUGCCUGAACCAUGGCGAGGGAGCCUUCACCGUUUAAAUCUGUGCAACUCGAUUCCAUUUGCCUUGGUCCUUCCGUUUCUGAAUUAUAGCAAGUGAAAAUAAUGGUGAAAAUUCUAGAGAGAAACCGAGAUAAUUUCAAGCUUAAUUAGCUAAAGAAUUGAGGUUCUCUGGCAGUUUACCCUCCAGUUUAUAACAUUUUUUUACUAAGAAUGUUUUCAGGUAAGGGAAAACACCACUUUCGUGAUCCAGUAGGAAACGGAGCCUUUCUUUCAACCGCUGCAUUUCCACAAACUCAAGAGACUCUAAUACCCGAAAAGGCAAGUUACGCUCUCCUUAAAACUCAGCACCAAUUCGAAGAUGGAGUAAAAUGUUCUGUAUUGAGUUUGUGACUUAGUGGAGUAAAAUGUCCUAUUUAUAGUGAUGCAGUACAAGACUCUCAUGCAUGUAUUGGAAUCUACCAAGAGUUGGAACCAUCAAAUAUAUUUAAUGGAGUUUUAGAGCAACACAACUAAUUAAGUAGUCAUUUAAGACCAUUUUAAAUAUUUUGGGUAGAGCAAAAGUCCAAUUCGGACUAGAGUUUCAUUGUGUUGUAUUCCUUAUAAAUAUAUGUACUAAUUGUAUUCCUUAAAUGACUACUUAAUUAGUUGUGUUGCUCUAAAACUCCAUUAAAUAUAUUUGAUGGUUCCAACUCUUGGUAGAUUCCAAUACAUGCAUGAGAGUCUUGAUUACUACAUCAUUUAGCUACUGCUAUGUGUCAUUCUUAGCCUUCAAGCAGCUUAACUGACUCUCAGUCAACAAUAACAACACAUCCAACAGCUUAAGGAUUGCUGUUUUUAGUGGAGAAAUGUGGAAGAGAAAGAGCCUUUGAAGAUUCCUUUAUGAGUUUGCACAUUGUGGGAGAUUUUGUUUCACUUUUACCAUUGUCAGGCCAUAAUCAUGGAUGUUGACAUGGUUGGACAGAUGUCGAAUGAUGGUGUCAUUGGGCCCCCACCAUCAAAGAAAAAGCAGUCCCCAUGGGGCAUCUAAGCGGAAAGAGAAUCCAUUAUAGUAUAAAGAUUUAGCAUUCACACUCAUAGCUUCGACAUCAAUCAUUUUCUUCCUUGCCGAUGUUCUUUAUAUUUUGCUUUCUUUAUUUCUUGAUAAGUUGUUUCUGGAUGAUAUUUUUUUAGAAUCUCUUGGAUGUCGUAUGCGUGCUACGUCACUCGUUUGUAUCAAAACACGCAUAAACAUUAUUUCUUUCAAUCGAGAUUUAAAAUUAAAAGUCUACAUACACUUUUUUGUUGUAAUUUGACUGAUGGACCAUAAUGUUGGAUUGUGAACUACCUUAGUACAUAUGUGUAGAAGUGUGGCAGGUGACGUAAGCAUAAAUAAUCAUUUUAACAUGCAUGUUAGCAAAAUGUUAAAUUGUGUUUAAUCAUAUUAAAUUAAUUUAUGUAUUGGUUUUGUUCAGGUAUAAUAAAAUUAAAAACACAUGUAUAAACUUAGUGUAAGUUUUAGGAUUCUCACCUUUAGAUUUCAUAGGUGGACAAAUUCAAUGUUGUUAAAGAUCCCAAGUGUUAGCCCUCAACUAGUGUCUACACGAAUAAAUAUCUGGCUAGUGAAGCAAAAAAACGACAAUUUGCUAGAACUUUAUCCAUCAGGUAGGUGUUGCCAUAAAGGGAUUUGGUAUGGUGUUUUGUUUUUCAAUUCUCUAAAUUGGAAAACCUAUUUCUUUUCUCUCUAAUAUCUAUUUGCGAUUAUUGAAUUCUCACACUAUGUUACAUAGACCCCUUAGGCUUAUAAAAAGAACAAUCUGUAAUUAAGCCAAUUGUGUGUUGCACGCCCUAGGGAAAUUUUUUAGAAACUUUUGGGUUCACUAGUCUGUAUCACGUCACUCGCUUGUCUCAAGAAGAGAUCCUUUCACAUCACCAGUUUACCACACUAAAAUUUUGAAUUUAUUAGAUGGAUAAUACAAUUUGUUUAAUAAAUGACCAACUUUACAAAUAUUUUUGUGAAGUGAUUUCACACAUAUUUUUUAGCUUUUACACACCCAUGUUUAAUUUUAGAUGUUGAUUCCGUUUGAUUUAUUUAAUCUGGUGGCCAUAAAUAAAGAGAGGUACGUGGAAAACUAAAAAUGGUGUGUGAAAAUCCUUGACACUACUAAGCAUGAAUUUUAGUAAGAUGAAAAAAGACCUUCGCUUGAUACCCGUGGGAGGACGUGACAUGACUUCCUUUAUUGAAGGAUGAGGAAUGCUAAUGUGACUUUCAAAAGUAGGACUUUCUAAUGACUCUCUGCCACCUCAUAGCUAGUUUAAUGUCAAUUCAUUCACGUGCCAACAUUAUAACACAAAUGCUAGGAAGGCUACAUUUAUAGACAAAAUUUGUAUACUAAAUGACAUGAAAGUUGAUGAUUAUAUUAUUAUUUAAGCGUUGAUAAACGUGCUCAUUUUCUAUUGGUAACAAGUCAUUUAGUUUUCAAAUUUUGUCUACAAAUUUAGUCUCCAUAGCAUUACCUGCAUUAUAAAGUAUUGUGCCAAAUAUAUGAGCUGACAAAGAGUCCAUAGAGAGUCUCAAUUUUGAGUCUCAUUAGCAUUUAUCUUCAAGAAUUUAUCCACAUUCUCCUCACGUAAUAAUUUCACCAAAAAUGUUUUCUAAAUGCUCACUUAUCAAGAUUAAACCCCCGUUUGGUAUUUUAUUUUUUGGGUAAAAGACUGUUUACUACCCUCAUGUUUCGUGGUUUUCAACAUUUAGUACAUCAUGUUUUUUUCGUCUCAGAGUCAUACCUAAAGUGUAAAUUUUGGGACAGUCUCAUACAUCCGUUAGUCAAACUGUUAAGUUUUUCGUUAACUGUGACGUGGCGCACUGACUGGGCGCCACGUGUCAUCCACGUUUUUUUUUUUUCUUUUUCUUUUUUCUUUCUUUUCUUUUCUUCUUCUUCCUUCUUCUUCUUCUUCCUCCGACUGCAACUUUUUUUUUUUUUUUUGCUUCUUCCUUUUCCUUCUUCCUUCCUUCCUCCUUCCUUUCCCUUUCUUCCCCUUCUUCCUUCUUCUUCCUUCUUCUUCCUCCGAAAUCUGGGGAAUGUUUUUUUUUUUCUUUCUUCUUCUUCCUCCUUCCUUCCCCUUCUUCCUUCUUCUUCUUUCUCCUUCUUCUUCUUCUUCUUCUUCCUCCGAAAUCUGGGGAAGUUUGUUUUUUUUUUUCUUUCUUUCUUCUUCUUCCUCCUUCUUCUUCUUCUUCUUCUUCCUCAAAAAAAAAAAAAAAAAAACACUUUUAUCUUUUCUUCCUCUUCUUCUUCUUCUUCUUCUUCUUUCUCUUUCCUCCUUCCUUCUUCUCCUUCUUCUUCUUCUUCUUCUUCUUCCUCCGAAUCUGCCCAGAUUCAAUUUUUUUUUUCUUCCUCCUUCUUCUCCUUCUUCUUCUUCUUCCUCCGAAUUUGGGGGAAGAUGAAAGUGUUUUUUUUUUUUUGAGGAAGAAGAAGAAGAAGAAGAAGAAAGAAAGAAAAAAAAAAAAAACAUUCCCCAGAUUUCGGAGGAAGAAGAAGGAAGAAGAAGGAAGAAGGGGAAGAAAGGGAAAGGAAGGAGGAAGGAAGGAAGAAGCAAAAGGAAGAAGCAAAAAAAAAAAAAAAAAAACAAAAACAGAAAGUUGCAGUCGGAGGAAGAAGAAGAAGAAGGAAGAAGAAGAAAAGAAAAGAAAAAAAAAAGAAAAAAAAAAACGUGGAUGACACGUGGCGCCCAAUCAGUGCGCCACGUCACAGUUAACGAAAAACUUAACAGUUUGACUAACGGAUGUAUGAGACUGUCCCAAAAUUUACACUUUAGGUAUGACUCUGAGACGAAAAAAACUUGAUGUACUAAAUGUUGAAAACCACGAAACAUUAGAGUAGUAAACAGUCUUUUACCCUUAUUUUUUUCAACAAAAGUUGCUUCACUUUAAAGUUAAGCAGUAAGAAUGUGUUUGGUAAAAAUAAAUUAUUUUGCUUAUAUUAAAAGUAAUGCAUGUCCUCCAGACAGCAACUUUUAAAAGCAGCAUGUAGGUAAAGCUGUUUUUAAUAAAAAGCAGAAUUGAGCUUUCAAUGAAUAUUUUUAAUUCCUGUAAUAUGCUCAAUAAUUUUAGAAAAUAACAUUAUUUAUUCUUGUAGGCACAUUUUAUCAUUGGAGAACAAAGUGACCACCACUAUAAACCCUAACCUCUUACACUACCAUUGCCAUGAUCACCACCAUUGUUGCCACCACCACCACACUACAAUUGCGCCACCACCACUACAACCAUACACACCACCGCUACCUUUGCCAUCAUUACCACCACACCGCCGCCGCCGCCGCCACCACCACCAUAAACACAACUGCCACCAUCAAUGUUGUUGCCACCCCUACGACCAAUGUUGCCUCUGCAGCCCAACCACCACCACCAUCCCAACCCUUACCCUUAUCACUGUUGUCGUCGUCACCACCAACAUUGUUACGUCUAUUUUUGUCAUUAUAUACAAUUAUAAAUUAUCAAACGCUUUUACGCCGUUUUUCAUACUCAACACUUUUAAAAAUACAAUUCAUCUAACACUCAACUGCUUUAUUUUGUAGCAGAUUAUUCUUAAAGCACAUCAGAAGCACUUUUUUUUAAAGCACAUCAAUCUCAAAAUGGCCGUAAGAUUAUGAGUUUUUCAAUUGAGAUAAAUAUAUAAUUUAUUUGACCAAAACGAUUUUAAAUUAUUUGUAAUAAGAUCACGCGAAAGAAGAACAUAAACGUUACACAUGAAAUUAAACCAAAGCAAAUGAUUUUCUUGGGUUUUAACACCCAUAUAUUUUUUGUUGGUUUAUCAUUUUCACCGAGCUCCACCUCAUUUAUACUUAAAGAAAUGUAUUAUGUUCCGAUCCAGAAACCAAGCUCCACCUCAUCAAUACUUGGAUAAUUUGAUGCAUUACUUUUGUUUCCUUUCUCAAUUUGGAGGCCCAAACAAGAAACAAAGCUACACUAGACAAAGACAACUGCUGUAUAGUGGGUGUUUUAGAAACUUAAAGGAAAGAAACUCAAAAGCUUCAAUUUGUUUGUCGUGCUCCUUUAACUUCCUCUUUUACUGUUAUACAAGCGAAAACAAGAGAGAUUUAAUGAGUAAAGGGAUACUUUACGCCUUGAUAUACAAGUUUAUUGUCAUGAUCUAGCAAGGUUUCUUCUAAGGAUCUUGGCUUUCUUUGUCUAUAAAGAAGUUGGGUUUUUGGUUGUUUAAUUAAUUUCUACUAGAAUUGCAAGAUAAAAAGGGAUACAAACACUACAAGAAAGCCGGGCUUAUGUGACGACAGAUAUUCGUCAUAGAAAAUAAAAAUGCGUCACAUUUGAUAAUAUGUGACGCCUUUACAGCGUCACUGCGAACGUCACCUAUGAUGCGUCACGGAAAGUAUAAGUGACUAAUUUUAAAAGCGCCACAUAUUUGUAGUAUAUGUGACACUGUUUUCGUCAAUUAAUAGGAGAUUGUGACGGAUUAGGCGUCACAAAAGAAUAAAUUAUGUGACCUAUAUAAUUCGUAAUGUAUGAAAUAGAUAAGUGACACUGAAGGCGUCACAUUUUUCUUCCAUUUGUGGCAUAGCUUGGGUCACUUAUGUCAAAAUAAAAUAUCUAUUUUGAAAAUAUAUGUGACAAACCAAUACAAUUCCCUAUUUAUAAUAUGAUGUUACAAUUCCUUGUUUAUAAAAAAGAAUCAAUUAUGUGACCUAUAUAAUUCGUCACUUAUGAAAUAGAUAACUAACACUGAAAGCGUCACAUUUUUCUUCCAUUUAUGGCACAGCCUGGAUCACUUAUGUCAAAAUAAAAUAUCUAUUUUGGAAAUAUAUGUGACAAACCAAUACAUAUUCCCUGUUUAUAAUCUGAUAUUACAAUUCAUUGUUUAUAAAAAAGAAUAAAUUACAUGACCUAUAUAAUUUGUCACUUAUGAAAUAGAUAAGUGACGCUGAAAGUGUCACAUUUUUCUUCCAUUUGUGGCGUAGCCUGGGUCAUUUAUGUCAAAAUAAAAUACCUAUUUUGGAAAUAUAUGUGAUAGACCAAUACAUAUUCCCUGUUUAUAAAGGAUCAAGGGACAAACAUUUUGACAAACAUAUAUAUAUAUAUAUAUAUAAUAUAUAUAUGUUUUUUUUUUUAAGAUGAUAACAUUUCCUGAAUAAAACUGAGAAGAUAUAUAAACCGGCAAGCAAGUUUAUUUAUCUUAAGAAAGUAACAGUAUUUCCAUAUUCACUUUCAGGUUAUUACAACUUUGACGUCGAAAAAAUAAGAACAUUUAGGGAAGAUGUUUUUCUCAUAAGUUAGGGUUUCUUCAAUGUUUGUCGGUUUCUUUACCUAAGUAAGUUUUUAUCUGUCAAAUUAGUUACGAAGGCUUACUGUCAAAUUGAAUGAAAGGUAAUGAAAGCAGAAAAUAGAAAACAAAAUAUCGGAGUUGACUAUUGGUAGGAUGAAUUUGAGUUAAAUUUCUUUGAAAACUUUAAAAUUGACAAGGAUUACCAAAACUAUACAAUUACCACAUAACAAGAACACAAAGGAAACUACGAGCUUGUUUGGUAUCCUAUUUGAAAAUUAUUGUCAUUUCUCAAAACAUUUCUUGAAAACAAUUUUCUUUAAGACUAAAAAACUUGACUGGUUUGCGAUUUACAAUUUUUAAAUCUUACAACUAAAAUUAGGCAAAGAGAUCUAAAAAGAGGGGAUCGUAGGAGAGGGAGAAAGAGGAGAGAAGAGGAAAGAAAGCAAGAGAUGAUUGAAGAAAAGAGAAAGAAGAGAGAGAAUCGAACAAAAGAGAGAGGAAGAGGAGUGAGAGAAAGAACAUAGAGAAUGAAAAGAGCAGAUUGAAAGAGAGACGAAACAUGUAAAAAAAUAAAAAUAAAGAGGAGAGAGAGAGAGAAGAAAAGAGAGAGAUUUGGAGUGAGAGGGGAGAAGGGAGAGAAGAAAAAAAAGUGUGAGUUUAAGUUUAAAAACUCUAAAAACUCACUUUUUAUGUUUUUAGAUAAUAGACUAUAUUUUUGAGUUAGUCUUGAGUUUAGUUUUUUAAGUAGUCUUACCAAAGACUAAAACUUGAAAAUUGUUUUUGAGUUUAAAAAAUUGGAUUCAAGGAAAGUAUCAAACAGACGCUAAAAAACUUGAAACAAAAGUUUACAAACAAACAACCAACGACAUAAGGAAAACAGACUGCAUACUUUUAUUUACACCAUUUUGUAGUACCCUCAAAACUAAUUGGCAAGUUAUUUAAUUACCAUAAGUGAUAAUGCUGUCCAUAAUCUUGGCCACUACCUCCUUAGAAUCCCUAAGCUUUUUUAUGCUUUUGUUAAGCUUCUCACGCUUUACUGCCAUUGCCGGCGACUCCUCCAACAUCCUCUCGAUUCCCCCAUCGUAAUGUCCCAUCAACUCAUUCAUAAUCUCAGCUUCCAUCUCUUUGUUCACAAGGUUAAAAACAGACAGCUGCAAGUGCAAUGCCAUGAAGUCCACAAACCUCCUCAAAACAACCUUCCAAUAGGCAGUCAUUCUCAUUUUAAGGUCAUAAGCUUGAGCUAAAACAUGCGGUUACUUCCUCAGAACACCGACUUCAACUUCCCCGAUGCCUUCUAUAGCUAUGAUAGAAGGUUUAUUCUCGUCAGUUAAGACUCCAUGAAUGAAAACAUUUUGACUAGCCAUCAACUUGUUCCAUUCGGAAAC